UUUUUUUUUGUAGUGCCCACUACCUAUUGAUGAUAGUUUUCCUGAUGAGCAGUUAGCUGCAAUAAAUGUUUCUCAUAGUACUCCUUGGUAUGCUGACUAUGCUAAUUACAUUGUUGCUAAAUAUUUACCACCUAGCUUUACAUACCAGCAAAAGAAAAAAAUCUUCUAUGAUUUAAGACAUUACUUUUGGGAUGACCCACAUCUUUAUAAAGAAGGAGUAGAUGGUAUUAUUAGACGUUGUGUACCUGAGCAUGAAUAGGGACAAAUCCUACGGAAAUGUCACUCCGAAGCUUAUGGAGGGCAUCAUGCUGGAGAUAGAACUGCUCACAAGGUAUUGCAAUCUGGAUUUUAUUGGCCUACUCUCUUCAAGGUUGGCCGUAAGUUUGUCUCUUCUUGUGAUGAAUCUCAAAGAAUAGGUAAUAUCGGUAAGCGUCAAGAAAUGCCUAUGAAUUAUUCACUUGUUGUUGAACCAUUUGAUGUUUGGGGAUUUGAUUACAUGGGACCUUUUCCUUCCUCUAAUGGGUAUACACAUAUUUUGGUUGUUGUUGAUUAUGUUACUAAAUGGGUAGAAGCUAUUCCAACUAGUAGUGCUGAUCACAACACCUCUAUUAAAAUGCUUAAGGAAGUUAUUUUCCCAAGGUUUGGAGUCCCUAGAUAUUUAAUGACUGAUGGUGGUUCACACUUUAUUCAUGGUGCUUUCCGUAAGAUGCUUGCUAAGUAUGAUGUUAACCAUAGAAUUGCAUCACCCUAUCAUCCUCAGUCUAGUGGUCAAGUUGAACUUAGCAAGAGAAAUAAAAUUAAUUUUGCAAAAGACUGCUAAUAGGUCCAGGAAGAAUUGGUCUAAGAAAUUAGAUGAUGCACUUUGGGCUUAUAGAACAACUUAUAAAAAUCCUAUGGGCAUGUCUCCUUAUAAAAUGGUUUAUGGAAAAGCUUGUCAUUUGCCUCUUGAGUUAGAACAUAAAACAUAUUGGGCAGUUAAAGAACUCAACUAUGAUUUGAAACUUGCUGGUGAAAAGAGGUUAUUUGAUAUAAGCUCUUUAGAUGAAUGGAGAAUCCAAGCUUAUGAAAAUGCAAAGUUAUUCAAAGAAAAAGUUAAAAGAUGGCAUGACAAAAGAAUUCAAAAGCGCGAGUUUAAAGUUGGAGAAUAUGUUCUUUUGUACAACUCUCGUUUUAGAUUUUUUGCAGGAAAGCUCCUCUCAAAAUGGGAAGGCCCAUACAUCAUUGAGGAGGUUUACCGGUCUGGAGCCAUCAAAAUAAAUAACUCCAAAGGUACUAACCCGAAGGUUGUCAAUGCGCAACGAAUAAAGCAUUAUAUCUUAGGUACGCCUAUUAAUGUUGAAAGUAAUAUUAUCCAAACUUUGACACUGGAAGAGCACAUAAAAGAAUCCUUCCGGAACACCCCAGAAUCGUGAAAAUAAAGAGGUACGUGAUACGGUAAGUAAACGGACUCCGAAAAAUCCGCAAUUUUUUUAUCAGUUUUGGAAUAUUUUAAAAUUUUGGAAAUAAAGAAACUUCCAGGAAGCGUCCCCUAGUGGGCACAAGACACCAGGGCACGCCAGGCUUGCCUAGCGCGCCCAGGUGGGUUGUGCCUGCCUGGGACACCUUCCGUACUCCAUUUUUCUUCCAUAUGCUUGUCCUCCAAGAUAAAAAAAAUCUAUAUAUACUUCCCGAACCUGUUGAUCACCGUAUCGCAGAGAAAUCCUCUGUUCUCUUUUCUUGCUGUUUCUGGUCAGAUUUAUCAAGCCAGGCAUCAUGUCUUCUUGCUCCUCCAACAACAUGGAAGAAGAUGCUUGGCUGAUGAAGAUCGAGACGAGGCAGGAGGAGCCCACAGACGCCAUCAAGGGAGACAAGGGCAAGAAAGCUACCGUAGACCCACCCCCCGUGGCAGCACAAGAGCUGCUGGCCGAGGAGGAGGAAGAGGAUAUCCUUAAGCCCUACUUACCUCAUCUUACUCCUGCUGAGAUUGAGGCUUUUCGCGUCAUUGAAAUAGUUCGCAUAUAGAAUAAGUAUCUUACUCGCGAAAAUAUUCUGCAUCAAGAGCAUAUCAUCCAUCACCGGAGCGUCAUCCGUCGGCUAGAGAACCUCUUGAUCCUUAAGGAUAGGAUCGCUUCAUCACCACCAUCAUCUUCUUCACCACCAAAGGAUAAUUGAGUAUCGGGUAUGGGCACUCCCCUUGGCUUCUGCCAAGCUUGGGGGAGGUGUGAUACGUCUCCAAUGUAUCUAUAAUUUAUGAAGUAUUCAUGCUAUUAUAUUAUCUGUUUUGGAUGUUUAUGGGCUUUAUUAAACACUUUUCUAUUAUUCUUGGGACUAACCUAUUAACCGGAGGCCCAGCCCAAAUUGCUAUUUUCUUGCCUAUUUCAGUGUUUCGAAGAAAAGGAAUAUCAAACAGAGUCCAAACGGAAUGAAACCUUCGGGAGAGUUAUUUUAGGAACGGAAGCAAUCCAGGAGACUUGGAGUAGACGUCAGGGAAGCUUCGAGGAAGCCAGGAGGCAGGGAGGCGCGCCCUACCCCCCUGGGCGCGCCCCCCACCCUCGUGGGCCCCUCGUGGCUCUGCUGACCGACUUCUUUCGCCUAUAUAAGUCCAUAUACCCUAAAAACAUCGGGGAACACAAUAGAUCGGGAGUUCCGCCGCAGCAAGCCUCUGUAGCCACCAAAAACCAAUCGGGACCCUGUUCCGGCACCCUGCCGAAGGGGGGAUCCCUCACCGGUGUCCAUCUUCAUCAUCCCGGCGCUCUCCAUGAUGAGGAGGGAGUAGUUCACCCUCGGGGUUGAGGGUAUGUACCAGUAGCUAUGUGUUUGAUCUCUCUCUCUCUCGUGUUCUUGAGAUGGUACGAUCUUGAUGUAUCGCGAGCUUUGCUAUUAUAGCUGGAUCUUAUGAUGUUUCUCCCCCUCUACUCUAUUGUAAUGGAUUGAGUUUUCCCUUUGAAGUUAUCUUAUCGGAUUGAGUCUUUGAGGAUUUGAGAACACUUGAUGUAUGUCUUGCAUGUGCUUAUCUGUGGUGACAAUGGGAUAUCACGUGAUUCACUUGAUGUAUGUUUUGGUGAUCAACUUGCGGGUUCCGUUUGUGAACUUAUGCAUAGGGGUUGGCACACGUUUUCGUCUUGAUUCUCCGGUAGAAACCUUGGGGCACUCUUUGAAGUUCUUUGUGUUGGUUGAAUAGAUGAAUCUGAGAUUGUGUGAUGCAUAUCGUAUAAUCAUACCCACGGAUACUUGAGGUGACAUUGGAGUAUCUAGGUGACAUUAGGGUUUUGUUUGAUAUGUGUCUUAAGGUGUUAUUCUAGUAUGAACUCUUGAAUAGAUUGAUCCGAAAGAAUAACUUUGAGGUGGUUUCGUACCCUACAAUAAUCUCUUCGCUUGUGCUCCGCUAUUAGUGACUUUGGAUUGACUCUUUGUUGCAUGUUGAGGGAUAUUUAUAUGAUCCAAUUAUGUUAUUAUUGUUGAGAGAACUUGCACUAGUGAAAGUAUAAACCCUAGGCCUUGUUUCCUAGCAUUGCAAUACCGUUUGUGCUCAUUUUUAUCAUUAGUUACCUUGCUGUUUUUAUAAUUUCAGAUUACAAAAACCUAUAUCUACCAUCCAUAUUGCACUUGUAUCAUCAUCUCUUUGCCGAACUAGUGCACCUAUACAAUUUACCAUUGUAUUGGGUGUGUUGGGGACACAAGAGACUCUUUGUUAUUUGGUUGCAGGGUUGCUUGAGAGAGACCAUCUUCAUCCUACGCCUCCCACGGAUUGAUAAACCUUAGGUCAUCCACUUGAUGGAAACUUGCCACUGUCCUACAAACCUCUGCACUUGGAGGCCCAACAACGUCUACAAGAAGAAGGUUGCGUAGUAGACAUCAAGUAGUUUCUGGCGCCGUUGCCGGGGAGGUUAGUGCUUGAAGGUAUAUCUUUAGAUCUUGCAAUUUCUUGUUUUAUCACUAGUUUAGUUUAUAAAAGAAAACUACAAAAAAAUGGAAUUGAGGGUUCGUCAUAUGCUUCAUCUUUUUAAUAUCUUUCAUGAAAAUAAGGAUUCCGAUAAUUGUGCUCGAUUGGUAGAAGAAGAAUGCAUUUGAAUGUUUGGCACUAAAUAUCUGAAUGAUGAGCAUGAUUGCAAUGUUGUUAGUAUGAACUCCUUGAAUAUCCAUGAUGCUAAUGAUAUGCAAAGCCACAAGCUUGGGGAAGCUAUGUUUGAUGAAGAUGAUAUUUUCAACCUCCCAAGUUCUGAUGAGCAAAAUUAUUAUGAUGAUAGCAUGCCUCCUAUCUAUGAUGAUUAUAUUGAUGAAAGCGGGUUUGGAGGAGUGUCAACUUUAGGAAGUAAUGAUCCCACUAUUUUGGAGGAUGUUGAAUAUUAUUGUGAUAAUUAUGAAAGUGGAUUUGGAGAGGUCAUGACUUUAUUUAGUGAUGAAUCCACUAUUUCGGAAGAGGUUCCAAUUGAUUAUGAGAACAAAGUUGCUAUAUAUGAUGAUUAUUGUGAUGACUUGUAUGCUAUUAAGAAUAAUGAUAACCAUGAAAAUUGCCGUCAUGAUUUUAAUUUUCAAUUGGAUUAUGCUUCACAUGAUAGUUAUUUUGUUGAGUUUGCUCCCACUACUAUUCAUGAGAACAAAUUUGCUUAUGUGGAGAGUAGUAAAAUUUCUAUGCAAGUAGAUCAUGAAAAGAAUGCUUCAUGUGCUGGUUAUAUUGUUCAAUUCAUUCAUGAUGCUACUGAAAAUUAUUAUGAGGGAGGAAUAUAUGCUUGUAUGAAUUGCAAUAAUAUCAAAUUUCCUCUCUAUGUGCUUAAAGUUUUGAAGUUAUGCUUGUUUUGCCUUCCUAUUCUAGUUGAUUAUUGUUCCCAUAAGUUGUUUGCUCACAAAAUCCCUAUGCAUAGGAAGUGGGUUAGACUUAAAUGUGCUAGUCAUAUUCUUCAUGAUGCUCUCUUUAUGUUUCAAUUCUUAUCUUUUAUGUGAGCAUCAUUGAAAUCAUCAUGCCUAGCUAGGGGCGUUAAACGUUAGCGCUUGUCGGGAGGCAACCCAAUUUUAUUUUUGUUUCUUGCUUUUUGGUUCUGUUUAGUAAUAAAUAAAUCAUCUAGCCUCUGGUUAGAUGUGGUUUUAUGUUUUAAUUAGUGUUUGUGCCAAGUAGAACCUUUGCGAAGACUUGGGUGAAGUAUUUAUGAUUAUGCUGUAAAAAACAGAAACUUUAGCGCUCACGAGAUUAGCUGCCAUUUUUUACUGGAGGGUGCUUUUAGGUUUAUUAUUUUUUCAGAUGAUUAAUAGACAAAUUAGUCAGGUCCACCAAUUUAUUUCAGAAUUUUUGGAGUUCCAGAAGUAUACGUUUCAUACAGAUUACUACAGACUGUUCUGUUUUUGACAGAUUUUGUUUUCUAUGUGUUGUUUGCUUAUUUUGAUGAAUCUAUGACUAGUAUCGGAGGGUAUGAACCAUAGAGAAAUUGGACUACAUUAGAUAUUACACAAAUAUGAAUUUAGAAUGAGUUCACAACAGUACCUAAGUGGUGAUUUAUUUUCUUAUACUAACGGAGCUUACGAGUUUUCUGUUGAGUUUUGUGUUGUGAAGUUUUCAUGUUUUGGGUAAAGAUUCGAUGGACUAUGGAAUAAGGAAUGGCAAAAGCCUAAGCUUGGGGAUUCCCAAGGCACCCCAAGGUAAUAUUCAAGGACAACCAAGAGCCUAAGCUUGGGGAUGCCCCGGAAGGCAUCCCCUCUUUCGUCUUCGCGUUCAUCGGUAACUUUACUUGGAGCUAUAUUUUUAUUCACCACAUAAUAUGUGUUUUGCUUGGAGCGUCAAUAUUUGUUAGGAUUUGCUUGCUGUUAUUUAGAACAAUGUUUUGCAUCUUUUAUUUCAAUAAAAGUGGCAUUGAUAGCCUUUACUAUGCUUAUUUUACAAGUCUACAUGUUGCUGUUUGAAAACAGAAAGUUUACCGCUGUUGCAAAAAUUUCCUAGAAAAGUCAGAAUGUGAUAAAAUGUUGAAACCUUUUGCAUAAUAAUCUCUGAUAAAUUUACUACAGUGGGAAUUUUCUUUCAUAAUUUUUGGAGCUAGGGAAGUAUGGAUCUUGCUGCAUUCUUACAGACUGUCCUUUUUAGGCAGAUUGCUGUUAUGUUUGCAUUGUUUGCAUAUGUUUGCUUCUUUAAUGAUUCUAUUUGAGGAUAGGACUAUUAAAUAUGCAGAGGCAUUUAGUAUGCAAUGUUGAAUAAUAAUUUUAGUGAUUUGCUACAGUAGAGUAUGAUAAGGUUUUUGCAUUGGUUUAUACUAACUUAUCUCACGAGUCCUUGUUGAGUUUUGUGUGGAUGAAGCUUUUGAAAUUUAGGGAGACCGUGAUAUCAGAGGAAUUAAGGAGACACAAACUCUCAAGCUUGGGGAUGCCCAAGGCAUCCCAAGAUAAUAUUUCAAGAAGUCUCAAGCGUCUAAGCUUGGGAAUGCCCCGGUUGGCAUCCCACCUUUCUUCUUCGACAACUAUCGGUUAGUAUUGGUUGAUCCUAAGUUUUUGCUUCUUCACAUGAUGUUUGCUAUUCUUAGAUGUCAUUUUAUUUUGUUUUGCUUGCUGUUUGAAGAAAGUAUCAAGAUCUGAAAUUCUUAAAUGAGAGAGAGUCUUCACAUAGUUACAUAAUUAUUUAACUACUCAUUGAUCUUCACUUAUAUCUUUUUGGAGUAGCUUGUCAUUUACUCGUGUGCUUCACUUAUAUCCUAUGAGUAAAUGGUUGAAUGAUUUGAAUAUCAUAAAUCUGAAAUUAUAUAUGUUUAAUAUGCUUAACCCAUGGGGAGUAAUGACUUCACAUAUAAGAAGUAGAGGUGGUAAAUUUAUUGAAGGUUAGCAAACAUUGUAUUAGUCACCUGGACAAUUCAUGAAAGAAUAUUGAGGGAAGAGAGAUUUCACAUAUAAAUAUACUAUCUUGGACAUCUUUUGUAAUUGUGAGCACUCAUUAAAAUAUGACAUGUUAAAAGGUUGAUGUUGGACAAGGAAGACAACGUAAUGGGUUAUGUUUUCUUAUAUCUGAAAUAAAGUAUAUUGUCAUGGAUCAUUCACCAUGCUGAGCUUGCCUUUCUCCCUCAUGCUAGCCAAUUCUUUGCACAAAGUAGAGAUACUACUUGUGCUUCCAAACAUCCCUUAAACCAGUAUUGCCAUGAGAGUCCACCAUACCUACCUAUGGAUUGAGUAAGAUCCUUCAAGUAAGUUGUCAUCGGUGCAUGCAAUAAAAAUUGCUCUCUAAAUAUGUAUGAUCUACUAGUGUGGAGAAAAUAAGCUUUAUACGAUCUCGUGAUGUGGAAGCAAUAAAAGCGAUGGACUGCAUAAUAAAGGUCCCUAUCACAAGUGGCAAUAUAAAGUGACGUUCUUUCGCAUUAAGAUUUUGUGCAUCCAACUAUAAAAGCGCAUGACAAUCUCUGCUUCCCUCUGUGAUGGGCCUAUCUUUUAUUCUUGUCUUAUUCCUUAUGCAAGAGUCUUGGUGAUCUUCACCUUUCCUUUUUACAUUUUAUCCUUUGGCAAGCACAUUGUGUUGGAAGGAUCCUAAUAUAUAUAUAUAUCCAAUUGGAUGUAAGGCAUCAUGAACUAUUAUUGUUGACAUUACCCUUGAGGUAAAAGGUUGGGAGGCGAAUCUAUAAGCCCCUAUCUUUCUCUGUGUCUGAUUAAAACUUUGAACCCAUAAAUAUCACGUGAGUGUUAGCAAUUGUGAAAGACUAAAUGAUAGUUGAGUAUGUGAAGUUUGCUGAAUCAAAACUCUGACAUAGACCCUUCCUGAAAAUAAGAUGAAUUGUAAUUGUUUGAUGACUAAUAACACGGUUUGUUAGUUUUCAAGAAAGUUUAUGAUCUAUACUUUAACAUGUGAAUAGCUUGUUACUUGAUCAUGAAAAGUUCUAUGAGUUGAGCUACUGUUAUGACAUAUGAUGAUGCUAGAAAAGGUGAUUGAAAUUAUCAUUGAUCAAACUUGUGCACCUGCUAGCAUUCACACUUCAUAAAUUAUUUCUUUUAUCAUUUACCUACUCGAGGACGAGCAGGAAUUAAGCUUGGGGAUGCUGAUAUGUCUCCAACGUAUCUAUAAUUUAUGAAGUAUUCAUGCUAUUAUAUUAUCUGUUUUGGAUGUUUAUGGGCUUUAUUAAACACUUUUAUAUUAUUUUUGGGACUAACCUAUUAACCGGAGGCCUAGCCCAAAUUGCUGUUUUCUUGCCUAUUUCAGUGUUUCGAAGAAAAGGAAUAUCAAACGGAGUCCAAACGGAAUGAAACCUUCGGGAGAGUUAUUUUAGGAACGGAAGCAAUCCAGGAGACUUGGAGUAGACGUCAGGGAAGCUUCAAGGAAGCCAGGAGGCAGGGAGGCGCGCCCCCCACCCUCGUGGGCCCCUCAUGGCUCCGCUGACCGACUUCUUUCGCCUAUAUAUGUCCAUAUACUCUAAAAACAUCGGGGAACACAAUAGAUCGGGAGUUCCGCCGCCGCAAGCCUCUGUAGCCACCAAAAACCAAUCGGGACCCUGUUCCGGCCCCCUGCCGGAGGGGGGAUCCCUCACCGGUGGCCAUCUUCAUCAUCCCGGCGCUCUCCAUGACGAGGAGGGAGUAGUUCACCCUUGGGGCUGAGGGUAUGUACCAGUAGCUAUGUGUUUGAUCUCUCUCUCUCAUGUUCUUGAGAUGGUACGAUCUUGAUGUAUCGUGAGCUUUGCUAUUAUAGUUGGAUCUUAUGAUGUUUCUCCCCCUCUACUCUCUUGUAAUGGAUUGAGUUUUCCCUUUGAAGUUAUCUUAUCAGAUUGAGUCUUUAAGGAUUUGAGAACACUAGAUGUAUGUCUUGCAUGUGCUUAUCUGUGGUGACAAUGGGAUAUCACGUGAUUCACUUGAUGUAUGUUUUGGUGAUCAACUUGCAGGUUCCGUUUGUGAACUUAUGCAUAGGGGUUGGCACACGUUUUCGUCUUGACUCUCCGGUAGAAACCUUGGGGCACUCUUUGAAGUUCUUUGUGUUGGUUGAAUAGAUGAAUCUGAGAUUGUGUGAUGCAUAUCGUAUAAUUAUACCCACGGAUACUUGAGGUGACAUUGGAGUAUCUAGGCGACAUUGGAGUAUCUAGGUGACAUUAGGGUUUUGGUUGAUAUGUGUCUUAAGGUGUUAUUCUAGUAUGAACUCUUGAAUAGAUCGAUCCGAAAGAAUAACUUUGAGGUGGUUUCGUACCCUACAAUAAUCUCUUCGCUUGUUCUCCGCUAUUAGUGACUUUGGAGUGACUCUUUGUUGCAUGUUGAGGGAUAUUUAUAUGAUCCAAUUAUGUUAUUAUUGUUGAUAGAACUUGCACUAGUGAAAGUAUAAACCCUAGGCCUUGUUUCCUAGCAUUGCAAUACCGUUUGUGCUCAUUUUUAUCAUUAGUUACCUUGCUGUUUUUACAAUUUCAGAUUACAAAAACCUAUAUCUACCAUCCAUAUUGCACUUGUAUCAUCAUCUCUUCGCCGAACUAGUGCACCUAUACAAUUUACCAUUGUAUUGGGUGUGUUGGGGACACAAGAGACUCUUUGUUAUUUGGUUGCAGGGUUGCUUGAGAGAGACCAUCUUCAUCCUAUGCCUCCCACGGAUUGAUACACCUUAGGUCAUCCACUUGAUGGAAACUUGCCACUGUCCUACAAACCUCUGCACUUGGAGGCCCAACAACGUUUACAAGAAGAAGGUUGCGUAGUAGACAUGAAGGUGCCCCGGUAUCGUAUCACCCCACUAUCUUUUUGCUUUUACUUAUCCUAGUUCGAUCAUUUACUUUUAGAUGAAAUAAAGUUUAGUUCGAUCCUUUCCUCUUUGAGAGUUUGCUUAGUGAUCUAUCCUUGUAAUCUUGUGCAAGUUAUAUAAUAAAGUUAGUUUGAGUUUUUGCCUUCUUUACUUUCAUGUUGCAAAUAAAGAAAAGAAGUAAAGAAAGAAAAAGAGAAAGGAAAUGAAUCAAUAAGAUUAUAUACUAAUCCUAUGGUAGGUGAUGGCACCACAUAAGGAAAAGUAUAAGUAGAAAAUUUUAUUAGAGAUUGACAAACAUAGCAUUAGUCAAUGAUGCAACUUAUGAAAGAAUUAAUAAGGGAAGAGAAGAUUCACAUAUAGAUAUACUAUCCUAUAAAUCUUUUGUGAUUGUGAGCCCUCAUCAAAAUAUUAUAUGCCAAAAUUGUUGACGUUGGACAAGGAAGACAACUUAAUGAUUUAUGUUUGUUUAUAUUCACAUAGAAGUCAUAUUGUCAUAGAUCCUUUAACAUGUGGUGCUUUCCCCUAUCUUUGCUAGUCAAAAAUUCCGCACUAAGUAGAGAUACUGCUUGUGCAUCCAAAAACUCUUAAACCCAAAUCUUUUUCAAGUGUCCACCAUACCUACCUAGGGAUAUAGCAAGAUCCCUCAAGUAAGUUGUCAUCGGUGCAAAAAGGCAAUAAAAAUUGCUUGUAAAAUUGUAAGAUCAUUUAGUGUAAGAGAAAAUUGAGCAUUGUACAAACUUGGAUGACAAAGAAUAAAAGUGACAGACUGCAUAAUAAAGGUUGUCAUCUUAAGGGGCAAUACAACGUGACGUUCUCUUGCACUAAGGGAUUGAGCAUACAAACAAAUAAGCGCAUGGUAACCUCUGCUUCCCUCUGCGAAGGGCCUUUCCUUUAUUUUUAUGCACUUACUUUUAUACAAAGAGUCAAAGUUUUCCUUCUAUUCCUUUAUUUUUCUCCUUUGGCAAGCAUCAUGUGGUGAGGAAAGAUCUAGGCACAUAUGUCCAGUUGAAUAUAGAUAGCAAGAGUUAUUAUUGUUGACAUCACCCUCGAGGUGAGUAUGUUGGGAGGCGAAACUAUAAGCCCCUAUCUUUGUAUGUGUCUGGUUGAAACGUUUUGCUCAUGGGUACGCGGUGAGUGUUAGCAAUCAUAGAAGACUAUAUGAUGGUUGAGUAUGUGGACUUGCCUAAAGGCUCCGAUACGUGACCCUUCCUGAAAAGAUGAUGAAUUGUAGUUGCAAAGUUGACUAAGAACAUAGUUUGUUGGUUUCUAAUAGUGUUUUUAUAAUAAUCAACAGGAUGAUUCUAUUUCCGUAUUUUGUUUUUAUCGACACCUCUCUCUCAAAGCAUGUGGACAAGUUUUCCGAUUUCGGUUUUCGCUUGAGGACAAGCGAGGUCUAAGCUUGGGGAGUUGAUACGUCCAUUUUGCAUCAUGUUUCCUUACUGUUAUUUAUAAUGUUUUAUCCAUAAUAAUGCUUUUUGGAGUAAUUCUAAUGCCUUUUCUCUCAUAAUUUACAAGGAACGCACCAAGAGGGAGAAUUCCAUGUUGGGGAACGUAGUAAUUUCAAAAAAAUUCCUACGCACACGCAAGAUCAUGGUGAUGCAUAGCAACGAGAGGGGAGAGUGUCGUCUACGUACCCUCGUAGACCGUAAUCGGAAGCGUUAUGACAACGCAGUUGAUGUAGUCGUACGUCUUCACGAUCCGACCGAUCCAAGUACCGGACGCACGGCACCUCCGAGUUCAGCACACGUUCAUUUCGAUGACGUCCCACGAACUCAUGAUCUAGCAGAGUGUCGGGGAAGAGCUUCGUCAGCACGACGGCGUGAUGACAGUGAUGAUGAAGCUACCGGCGCAGGGCUUCGCCUAAGCACUACAACGAUAUGACCGAGGUGGAUUAUGAUGGAGGGGGGCACCGCACACGGCUAAGAACAAUGUCAACUUGUGUGUCUAAGGGGUGCCCCUGGCCACGUACAUAAAGGAUGAAGGGAGGAGGAGGGCGGCCCUCAUAGGGCGCACCCAAAGUGUGGAGUCCUACUAGGGCCCCCUAGUACUAGUAGGAUUCCACCUCCCACAUGGAAUAGGAAAAGGGAAAGGGAGAAGGAGAAGGAAGGAAGGGGACGCCCCCUUUCCCUAGUCCAAUUCGGACCAGUCCAUGGGGAAGGGCCGCGGCCACCCUUGAGGCCUUUUUCUUCUUUCUCGUAUGGCCCAUUAAGGCCCAAUACGAAUUCCCGUAACUCUUCGGUACUCCAAAAAAUAUCCGAAUCACUCGGAACCUUUCCGAUGUCCGAAUAUAGUCGUCCAAUAUAUCGAUCUUUACGUCUCAACCAUUUCGAGACUCCUCGUCAUGUCCCCGAUCUCAUCUGGGACUCCGAACUACCUUCGGUACAUCAAAACACAUAAACUCAUAAUACCGAUCGUCACUAAACGUUAAGCGCGCGGACCCUACGGGUUCGAGAACUAUGUAGACAUGACCAAGACUCAUCUUUGGUCAAUAACCAAUAGCGGAACCUGGAUGCUCAUAUUGGUUCCUACAUAUUCUACGAAGAUCUUUAUCGGUCAAACCGCAUAACAACAUACAUUGUUCCCUUUGUCAUCGGUAUGUUACUUGCCCGAGAUUCGAUCGUCGGUAUCUCAAUACCUAGUUCAAUCUCGUUACCGGCAAGUCUCUUUACUCGUUCCGUAAUGCAUCAUCCCGCAACUAACUCAUUAGUCACAUUGCUUGCAAGGCUUAUAGUGAUGUGCAUUACCGAGAGGGCCCAGAGAUACCUCUCCGACAAUUGGAGUGACAAAUCCUAAUCUUGAUCUAUGCCAACUCAACAAACACCAUCGGAGAUACCUAUAGAGCAUCUUUAUAGUCACUCAGUUACGUUGUGACAUUUGAUAGCACACACAAAGUGUUGCUCCGGUAUUCGGGAGUUGCAUAAUCUCAUAGUCAUAGGAACAUGUAUAAGUCAUGAAGAAAGCAAUAGCAACAUACUAAACGAUCAAGUGCUAAGCUAAUGGAAUGGGUCAAGUCAAUCACAUCAUUCUCUAAUGAUGUGAUCCCGUUAAUCAAAUGACAACUCAUGUCUAUGGCUAGGAAACUUAACCAUCUUUGAUUCAACGAGCUAGUCAAGUAGAGGCAUACUAGUGACACUCUGUUUGUCUAUGUAUUCACACAUGUACUAAGUUUCCGAUUAAUACAAUUCUAGCAUGAUAAUAAACAUUUAUCAUGAUAUAAGGAAAUAUAAAUAACAACUUUAUUAUUGCCUCUAGGGCAUAUUUCCUUCAGUCUCCCACUUGCACUAGAGUCAAUAAUGUAGUUCACAUCGCCAUGUGAUUUAACACCAAUAGUUCACAUCACCAUGCGAUUAAUAUCCAUAGUUCACAUCGCCAUGUGGCCAACACUCAAAGGGUUUACUAGAGUCAACAUCGCCAUGUGAUUAACACCCAAAGAGUACUAAGGUGUGAUCAUGUUUUGCUUGUGAGAGAAGUUUAGUCAAUGGGUCUGCCAAAUUCAGAUCCGUAUGUAUUUUGCAAAAUUCUAUGUCUACCAUGCUCUGCACGGAGCUACUUUAGCUAAUUGCUCCCACUUUCAAUAUGUAUCCAGAUUGAGACUUAGAGUCAUCUGGAUCAGUGUUAAAACUUGCAUCGACGUAACCCUUUAUGACGAACCUUUUGUCACCUCCAUAAUCGAGAAACAUAUCCUUAUUACACUAAGGAUAAUUUUGACCGCUGUUCAGUGAUCUACUCCUAGAUCACUAUUGUACUCCCUUGCCAAACUCAGUGUAGGGUAUACAAUAGAUCUGGUACGCAGCAUGGCAUACUUUAUAGAACCUAUGGCUGAGGCAUUUCUAUCUUCUGCCGUGGUCGGGCUUUGAGUCUUACUCAAUUCUACACCUUGUAACACAGGCAAGAACUCUUUCUUUGACUGUUCCAUUUUGAACUACUUCAAAAACUUGUCAAGGUAUGUACUCAUUGAAAAAACUUAUCAAGCGUCUUGAUCUAUCUCUAUAGAUCUUGAUGCUCAAUAUGUAAGCAGCUUCACUGAGGUCUUUCUUUAAAAAAACUCCUUUCAAAUACUCCUUUAUGCUUUCCAGAAAAUUCUACAUUAUUUCCGAUCAACAAUAUGUCAUUCACAUACAUUUAUCAGAAAUGCUGUAGUGCUCCCACUCACUUUCUUGUAAAUACAGGCUUCACCGCAAGUCUGUAUAAAAUUAUAUGCUUUGAACAACUCAUCAAAGCGUAUAUUCCAAGUCCGAGAUGCUUGCACCAGUCCAUAGAUGGAUCGCUGGAGCUUGCACAUUUUGUUAGUGCCUUUAGGAUCGACAAAACCUUCUGGUUGCAUCAUAUACAACUCUUCCUUAAGAAAUCCAUUAAGGAGUGCAGUUUUGUUAUCCAUUUGCCAGAUUUCAUAAAAUGCGGCAAUUGCUAACAUGAUUCGGACAGACUUAAGCAUCACUACGAGUGAGAAAAUCUCAUCGUAGUCAACACCUUGAACUUGUUGAAAACCUUUCGUGACAAGUCGAGCUUUGUAGAUAGUAACACUACCAUCAGCGUCCGUCUUCCUCUUGAAGAUCCAUUUAUUCUCAAUGGCUCACCGAUCAUCGGGCAAGUCAAUCAAAGUCCACACUUUGUUCUCAUACAUGGAUCCCAUCUCAGAUUUCAUGGACUGAAGCCAUUUCGUGGAAUCUGGGCUCAUCAUCGCUUCCUCAUAGUUCGUAGGUUCGUUAUGGUCAAGUAACAUGACCUCCAGAGCAGGAUUACUGUACCACUCUGGUGCGGACCUUACUCUGGCUGACCUACGAGGUUCGGUAGUAACUUGAUCUGAAGUUUCAUAAUCAUCAUCAUUAACUUCCUCACUAAUUGGUGUAGGCAUCACUAGAACUGAUUUCCGUGAUGAACUUCUUUCCAAUUCGGGAGCAGGUACAAUUACCUCAUCAAGUUCUACUUUCCUCCCACUCACUUCUUUCGAGAGAAACUCCUUCUCUUAGAAAGGAUCCAUUCUUAGCAACGAAUAUCUUGCCUUUGGAUCUAUGAUAGAACGUGUACCCAACAGUUUCCUUUGGGUAUCCUAUGAAGACGCAUUUCUCCGAUUUGGGUUCGAGCUUAUCAGGUUGAAACUUUUUCACAUAAGCAUUGCAACCCCAAUCUUUAAGAAAUGACAGCUUAGGUUUCUUACCAAACCAUAGUUCAUACGGUGUCAUCUCAACGGAUUUAGAUGGUGCCCUAUUUAACGUGAAUGCAACUGUCUCUAAUGCAUAACCCCAAAACGAUAGUAGUAAAUCGGUAAGAGACAUCAUAGAUCGCACCAUAUCUAAUAAAGUGCGGUUAUGAUGUUCGGACACAUCAUUAUGUUGUGAUGUUCCAGGUGGCAUGAGUUUGUGAAACUAUUCCACAUUGUUUUAAUUGAAGGCCAAACUCAUAACUCAAAUAUUCAUCUCCACGAUCAGAUCAUAGAAACUUUUAUUUUCUUGUUAUGAUGAUUUUCUACUUCACUCUGAAUUUCUUUGAACUAUUCAAAUGUUUCAGACUUAUGUUUCAUCAAGUAGAUAUAGCCAUAUCUGCUCAAAUCAUUUGUGAAGUUUAGAAAAUAACGAAACCCGCCGCGAGCCUCAACACUCAUCGGACCGCAUACAUCAGUAAGUAUUAUUUCCAAUAAGUCAGUUGCUCGCUCCAUUGUUCCGGAGAACGAAGUCUUAGUCAUCUUGCCCUAUGAGGCAUGGUUCGCAAGCAUCAAGUGAUUCAUAAUCAAGUGAUUCCAAAAGCCCAUCAGCAUGGAGUUUCUUCAUGCGCUUUACACCAAUAUGACCUAAACGGCAGUGCCACAAAUAAGUUGCACUAUCAUUAUUAUGAAAUAUGUGUAUCACUACGAUCGAGAUUCAAUAAACCAUUUAUAUUAAGUGUAUGACCAUAGAAGGUUUUAUUCAUGUAAAUAGAACAGCAAUUAUUCUUUGACUUAAAUGAAUAAUUGUAUUGCAAUAAACAUGAUCCAAUCAUAUUUACGCUCAACGCAAACACCAAAUAACAUUUAUUUUAGGUUCAACACUAAUCCCGAAGGUAAAGGGAGUGUGCGAUGCUGAUCUUAUCAACCUUGGAAUUACUUCCAACACACAUCAUCACCUCGCCCUUAACUAGUCUCUGUUCAUUUUGCAACUCCUGUUUCGAGUUACUACUCUUAGCAACUGAACCAUAUCAAAUACCGAGGGGUUGCUAUAAACACUAGUAAAGUACACAUCAAUAACAUGUAUAUCAAAUAUACCUUUGUUCACUUUGCCAUCCUUCUUAUCCGCCAAGUAUCUAGGGCAGUUCCACUUCCAGUGAUCAUUUCUUUUGCAGUUAGAAGCACUCAGUUUCAGGCUUGGGUCUAGCUUUGGGCUUCUUCAUGGGACUGGCAACUUUCUUGCCAUUCUUCUUGAAGUUCCCUUUCUUUCCCUUGCCCUUUUUACUUGAAACUAGUGGUCUUGUCAACCAUCAACACUUGAUGCUUAUCUUGAUUUCUACCUUCACCAAUUUCAGCAUCGCAAAGAGCUCGGGGAAUCGUUUUCGUCAUCCCUUGCAUAUUAUAGUUCAUCACAAAGUUCCAGUAACUUGGUGAUAGUGACUAGAGAACUCUGUCAAUCACUAUCUUAUCUGGAAGAUUAACUCCCACUUGAUUCAAGCGAUUGUAGUACUCAGACAUUCUGAGCACAUGCUCACUGGUUGAGCUAUUCUCCUCCAUCUUGUAGGCAAAGUACUUGUCAGAGGUCUCAUACCUCUCGACACGGACAUGAGUAUGAAAUACCAAUUUCAAUUCUUGGAACAUCUUAUAUGCUCUGUGGUGUUCAAAACAUUUUUGAAGUCCCGGUUCUAAGCCGUAAAGCAUGGUGCACUAAACUAUCAAGUAGUCAUCAUACCGAGCUUCGUCAAACGUUCAUAAAGUCUGCAUCUGCUCGUGCAAUAGGUCUGUCACCCUAGCGGUGCAUCAAGGACAUAAUUCUUCUAUGCAGCAAUGAGGAUAAUCCUCAGAUCACGGACCAAGUCUGCAUCAUUGCUACUAUCAUCUUUCAACUUACUUUUCUCUAGGAACAUAUCAAAAAAUAAACGGGGAACUACGCCGCGAGCUAUAGAUCUACAACAUAGAUAUGCAAAUACUAUUAGGACUAAGUUCAUGAUAAAUUAAAGUUCAAUUAAUCAUAUUACUUAAGAACUCCCACUUAGAUAGACAUCCCUCUAAUCAUCUAAGUGAUCAUGUGAUCCAUAUCAACUAAACCAUGUCCGAUCAUCACGUGAGAUGGAGUAGUUUUCAAUGGUGAACAUCACUAUGUUGAUCAUAUCUUCUAUAUAAUUCAAGCUCGACCUUUCGGUCUCCAGUGUUUCGAGGCCAUAUCUGCAUAUGCUAGGCUUGUCAAGUUUAACCCGAGUAUUCUGCGUGUGCAAAACUGGCUUGCACCCGUUGUAUGUGAACGUAGAGCUUAUCACACCUGAUCAUCACGUGGUUUCUCAGCACGAAGAACUGUCGCAACGGUGCAUACUCAGGGAGAACACUUGUACCUUGAAAUUUAGUGAGAGAUCAUCUUAUAAUGCUACCGUCGAACUAAGCAAAAUAAGAUGCAUAAAGGAUAAACAUCACAUGCAAUCAAUAUAAGUGAUAUGAUAUGGCCAGCAUCAUCUUGUACCUUUCAUAUCCAUCUCCAAAGCACCGUCAUGAUCACCAUCGUCAUCGGUGCGACACCUUGAUCUCCAUCGUAGCAUCGUUGUCGUCUCGCCAACUAUUGCUUCUAUGACUAUCGCUACCGCUUAGUGAUAAAGUAAAGCAAUUACAUGGCGAUCGCAUUUCAUACAAUAAAGCGACAACCAUAUAGCUCCUGCAAGUUGCCGAUAACUCUGUUACAAAACAUGAUCAUCUAAUACAAUAAAAUUUAGCAUCAUGUCUUGACCAUAUCACAUCACAACAUGCCCUGCAAAAACAAGUUAGACGUUCUCUACUUUGUUGUUGCAAGUUUUACGUGGCUGCUACGGGCUGAGCAAGAACCGUUCUUACCUACGCAUCAAAACCACAACGAUAUUUUGUCAAGUAUGUGUUGUUUUAACCUUCACAAGGACCGGGCGUAGCCACACUCGAUUUAACUAAAGUUGGAGAAACUGACACCCGCCAGCCACCUGUGUGCGAAGCACGUCGGUAGAACCAGUCUCGCGUAAGCGUACGCGUAAUGUCGGUCCGGGCCGCUUCAUCCAAAAAUACCGCCGAAUCAAAGUAUCACAUGCUGGUAAGCAGUAUGAUUUGUAUCGCCCACAACUCACUUGUGUUCUACUCGUGCAUAUAACAUCUACGCCUAAACCUGGCUCGGAUGCCACUGUUGGGGAACGUAGUAAUUUCAAAAAAACUCCUACGCACACGCAAGAUCAUGGUGAUGCAUAGCAACGAGAGGGGAGAGUGUCGUCUACGUACCCUCGUAGACCGUAAGCGGAAGCGUUAUGACAACACGGUUGAUGUAGUCGUACGUCUUCACGAUCUGACCGAUCCAAGUACCGAACGCACGACACCUCCAAGUUCAGCACACGUUCAGUUUGAUGACGUCCCACAAACUCAUGAUCCAGCAGAGUGUCGGGGAAGAGCUUCGUCAGCACGACGGCGUGAUGACAGUGAUGAUGAAGCUACCCUCGCAGGGCUUCGCCUAAGCACUACGACGAUAUGACCGAGGUGGAUUAUGGUGGAGGGGGGCACCGCACACGGCUAAGAACAAUGUCAACUUAUGUGUCUAUGGAGUGCCCCCUGGCCACGUACAUAAAGGAUGGCGGGAGGAGGAGGCCGGCCCUCAUAGGGCGCGCCCAAAGUGUGGAGUCCUACUAGGACUCCCUAGUCCUAGUAGGAUUCCACCUCCCACAUGGAAUAGGAAAAGGGGAAGGGAGAAGGAGAAGGAAGGAAGGGGGCGCCCCCUUUCCCUAGUCCAAUUCGGACCAGUCCAUGGGGAAGGGCUGCGGCCAUGCUUGAGGCCUUUUUCUUCUUUCCCGUAUGACCCAUUAAGGCCCAAUACGAAUUCCCGUAACUCUCCGGUACUCCGAAAAAUACCCGAAUCACUCGGAACCUUUCCGAUGUCCGAAUAUAGUCGUCCAAUAUAUCGAUCAUUACGUCUCGACCAUUUCGAGACUCCUCGUCAUGUCCCCGAUCUCAUCCGGGACUCCGAACUACCUUCGGUACAUAAAAACACAUAAACUCAUAAUACCGAUCGUCACCGAACAUUAAGCGUGCGGACCCUACGGGUUUGAGAACUAUGUAGACAUGACCGAGACUUAUCUCUGGUCAAUAACCAAUAGCGGAACCUGUAUGCUCAUGUUGGUUCCUACAUAUUCCACGAAGAUCUUUAUCGGUCAAACCGCAUAACAAAAUACAUUGUUCCCUUUAUCAUCGGUAUGUUACUUGCCCGAGAUUCGAUUGUCGAUAUCUCAAUACCUAGUUCAAUCUCGUUACCGCAAGUCUCUUUACUCGUUCCGUAAUGCAUCAUCCUGCAACUAACUCAUUAGUCACAUUGCUGGCAAGGCUUAUAGUGAUGUGCAUUACCGAGAGGGCCCAGAGAUACCUCUCCGACAAUCGGAGUGACAAAUCCUAAUCUCGAUCUAUGCCAACUCAACAAACACCAUCGGAGAUACCUGUACAGCAUCUUUAUAGUCACCCAGUUACGUUGUGACGUUUGAUAGCACACAAAGUGUUCCUCCGGUAUUCGGGAGUUGCAUAAUCUCAUAGUCAUAGGAACAUGUAUAAGUCAUGAAGAAAGCAAUAGCAACAUACUAAACGAUCAAGUGCUAAGCUAAUGGAAUGGGUCAAGUCAAUCACAUCAUUCUCUAAUGAUGUGAUCCCGUAAUCAAAUGACAACUCAUGUCUAUGGCUAGGAAACUUAACCAUCUUUGAUUCAACGAGCUAGUCAAGUAGAGGCAUACUAGUGACACUCUGUUUGUCUAUGUAUUCACACAUGUACUAAGUUUCCGGUUAAUACAAUUCUAGCAUGAAUAAUAAACAUUUAUCAUGAUAUAAGGAAAUAUAAAUAACAACUUUAUUAUUGCCUCUAGGGCAUAUUUCCUUCAUUCCGGCAGCUGGAAAUCUGGACCUGGAAAAGCUAUGUCACGCCACCUAUUCUGCACAACUCUAAAUGAGCUGAAACUUUACGCAGUUUUUUAAGGAUUAUUUGAGAAAUAUUGGAGCCAAUUAACACCAGAGGGAGGCCACCAGGUGGGCAAAACCCACAUGGGCACGCCAGGCCCCCCAGGCGCGCCCUGGUGGGUUAUGGCCUCCUCGGCCCACCUCCGGUACCCAUCUUCUAGUAUAUUAGUCAUUUUGACCUAGAAAAAAUAAGGAAGAGACUUUCGGGACGGAGCGCCGCCGCCUCAAGGUGGAACUUGGGCAUGAGCACUUUUGCCUUCCGGCGGAGCGAUUCCACCGGGGGAACUUCCCUCCCGGAGGGGGAAAUCAUCGUCAUCAUCAUCACCAACAACUCUCCCAUCUCAGGGAGGUCAAUCUCCAUCAACAUCUUCAACAACACCAUCUCAUCUCAAACCCUAGUUCAUCUCUUGUGUUCAAUCUUGUUACCGGAACUAUGGAUUGGUGCUUGUGGGUGACUAGUAGUGUUGAUUACAUCUUGUAGUUGAUCACUGUAUGGUUUAUUUGGUGGAAGAUUAUAUGUUUAGAUCCAUUAUGCUAUUUAAUACUCCUCUGAUCAUGAGCAUGUUUAUCAUUUGUGAGUAGUUACUUUUGUUCUUGAGGUCACGGGAGAAAUCAUGUCGCAAGUAAUCAUGUGAACUUGAUAUGUGUUCGAUAUUUUGAUAGUAUGUAUGUUGUUAUUCCCUUAGUGGUGUCAUGUGAACAUCGACUACAUGACACUUCUUUGGCCUGAUGGAAUGCAUUGUGGAGUAGCAAUUAGAUGGUGGGUUGCGAGAGUGACAGAAGCUUAAACCCCAGUUUAUGCGCUAUUUCGUAAGUGGCCGAUUAGAUCCAAAAGUUUAAUGCUAUGGUUAGAAUUUAUUCUUAAUACUUUUCUCGUAGUUGCAGAUGCUUGCGGGAGGGUUAAUCAUAAGUAGGAGGUUUGUUCAAGUAAGAACAACACCUAUGCACCGGUCCACCCACAUAUCAAAUUAUCAAAGUAGCGAACACAAAUCAAACCAACAUGAUGAAAGUGACUAGAUGAAAUUCCUGUGUACCCUCAUGAACGCUUUGCUUAUCAUAAGAGACCGUUUUGGCCUGUCCUUUGCCUCAAAAGGAUUGGGCUACCUUGCUGCACUUUUGUUACUAUUACCAUUACUUGCUCGUUACAAAUUAUCUUGCUAUCAAACUACUCCGCUACUUACAAUUUCAGCACUUGUAGACAUUACCUUACUGAAAACUACUUGUCAUUUCCUUCUGCUCCUCGUUGGUUUCGACACUCUUACUUAUCGAAAAGAGCUACAAUUGAUUCCCUAUACUUGUGGGUCAUCAGAAUACUCAGGUUAAACUUGACGAGCCUAGCAUGUACAGACAUGGCCUCGGAACACCGGAGACCGAAAGGUCGAACGUGAAUCAUAUAGUAGAUAUGAUCAACGUAGAGAUGUUCACCAUUGAAAACUACUCCAUCUCACAUGAUGAUCGGACAUGGUUUAGUUGAUAUGGAUCACGUGAUCAUUUAGAUGAUUCGAGGGAUGUCUAUCUAAGUGGGAGUUCUUAAGUAAUAUGAUUAAUUGAACUUAAUUUAUCAUGAACUUAGUCCUGAUAGUAUUUGCUAUAUCUAUGUUGUAGAUCAAUAGCUCGCGUUUAGCUCCCUGUUUUAUUUUUGAUAUGUUCCUAGAGAAAACUAAGUUGAAAGAUGAUAGUAGCAAUGAUGCGGACUGGGUCCGUGAUUUGAGGAUUAUCCUCAUUGCAGCACAAAAGAAUUAUGUCCUUGAUGGACCGCUAGGUGACAGACCUAUUGCAGGAGCAGUUGCCAACGUUAUGAAUGCUUGGCAAGCUCGGUAUGAUGACUACUUGAUAUAGAUUAGUUCCGCCAAGGUUCUGCCUCGUGGCAGCGGAGUUUCGUCCCGAAAGCUUGCUUAUGAUUUUUCUUCAGACGAAAGACUUCAUAUAGCAGAAGAUGGCCACCGGAGGGCCACCAGGGGGCCCACGAGGCAGGGGGCACGCCCAGGGGGGUAGGGUGCGCCCCCCACCCUCGUGCCUGGUGGGUGGCCCCCCUCUGGUAUUUCUUCCGCUCAAUUUUUUAUAUAUUCUGAAAAUAACUUCCGUGGAGUUUCAGGACUUUUGGAGUUGUGCAGAAUAGGUCUCUGAUAUUUGCUCCUUUAUCAGCUCAGAAUCCCGGCUACCGGCAUUCUCCCUCUUCAUGUAAACCUUGUAAAUUAAGAGAGAAUAGACAUAAGUAUUGUGACAUAAUGUGUAAUAACAGCCCAUAAUGCAAUAAAUAUCAAUAUAAAAGCAUGAUGCAAAAUGGACGUAUCAACUCCCCCAAGCUUAGAUCUCGCUUGUCCUCAAGCGGAAGCCGAUAACGAUAAAUAUGUCCACAUGUUUAGAGGUAGAGGUGUCGAUAAAAUGAAAUACGAACAUGAGGGAAUCAUGGUCAUUCUUAUAACAGCAACAUAUAUGAAUAUUGUCAUAUGAUUUCUUAUGCUCAAGUAAUAAUCUAUUCACAAUGUCAAGUAUGAAUCAGAAACUUUAUUGAGAACUAACAAACUAUAAUCUCAGUCAUUGAAGCAAUUGCAAUUUAUCAUAACAUUAGAAAGAGUCUAUGUCAGAGCUUUUCAGCAAGUCCACAUACUCAACUAUCAUUUAGUCUUUCACAAUUUCUAACACUCACGCAAUACUUGUGGUUACGGAGUUUUAAUCGGACACAGAGAAAGAUAGGGGCUUAUAGUUUCGCCUCCCAACCUUUUACCUCAAGGGUAAUUGUCAAAAAUAAUAGUUCAUGCUAACUCACAUCCAAUUGGAUAUAUAUAUAUGAGGAUCUUUCCAACACACUGUGAUUGCCAAAGGAUAAAAUGUAAAAAGGAAAGGUGAAGAUCACCAUGACUCUUGCAUAAGGUAGAAGAUAAAAGUAAAAGAUAGGCCCUUCGCAGAGGGAAGCAGAGGUUUCCAUGCGCUUUUAGGGUUGGAUGCACAAAAUCUUAAUGCGAAAGAACGUCACUUUAUAUUGCCACUUGUGAUAUGGACCUUUAUUAUGCAGUCCGUCGCUUUUAUUUCUUCCACAUCACAAGAUCGUAUAAAGCUUAUUUCCUCCACACCAAUCAAUCAUACAUAUUUAGAGAGCAAUUUUUAUUGCUUGCACCAAUGAUAACUUACUUGAAGGAUCUUACUCAAUCCAUAGGUAGAUAUGGUGGACUCUCAUGGCAAAACUGGGUUUCAGGAUAUUUGGAAGCACAAGUAGUAUCUCUACUUGGUGCUAAGAAUUUGGCUAGCAUGAGAGGGAAAGGCAAGCUCAACAUGUUGGAUGGUCCAUUACAAUAUACUUUAUCUCAGAUAUAAGAAAACAUAACCCAUUAUGUUGUCUUCCUUGUCCAACAUCAACUCUUUAGCAUAUCAUAUUUUAAUGAGUUCUCACAAUCAUAAAAGAUGUCCAAGAUAGUAUAUUUAUAUGUGAAACCUCUCUUUCUUUAUUACUUCCUAUUAAUUGCAACGAUGACCAAAGCUAUGUUUGUCAUCUCUCAACAACUUUUAAUCAUCAUACUCUUUCUAUGUGAAGUCAUUACUCUCCAUAAGAUCAAUAUGAUCUCUUUGUUUCUUUUUAUUCUUUCUUUUUCAUUUAUUCCCUCAAGAUCAUGGCAAAAUAAUCAAGCCCUUAACUCAACACUAAUCUUUAUUAUAUAGCUCACGGACUCGGUUACAUAGAGGGAUCAUAAAGCAAAACUCAAAACUAAAUCAUACCAAAACUUUUAUUCUACUAGAUCAAGAUAUUACUAAAAGGAUCGAACUAAGAAAAAUGGUAAAGAUAGAGAUGUGAUGGUGAUACGAUACCGGAGCACCUCCCCCAAGCUUGGCAGUUGCCAAGGGGAGUGCCCAUACCCAUAUGAUUAUAUCUCCCUUGCUGGUGAAGAAGAUGGUGGUGAUGAUGAGUAGUCGCACAUCGAGCGUAAGAGAUCCUCCAACUUGCGGAUAAUGCCCUUGAGUGCAACGAUAUGCUCCUUCAACAAAAUAUUUUCACGUGUGAGAUUGUAUACGAGCUAACUCAAUCAUCUUGAAAGCUUCGAUCUCAGUUGGGGUAAGAAGAUUGUGAUCAAGUUGAAGGAUGUCUUCUGUUUCCGGAACUUGGUCCUCCGUGGCCUUCUUGAUCCCUUCAUCCUUGUUAAUCUCCAUGGGUUCUUCCCUCUUUAGCUCUAUCUUCAUUAGCCAAGCAUCGUUGUCACCAUUGUUGGAGGAGGGGGGACGACAUGAUGCCUGGCCUUGACAACCCUGAUAGAAAAUAGCUCGAAACAAGAACAGAGGAUAUUUGCGUGGUACAGGAGUCAAAACCUUCGGGAGAUUAUAUAAUGAAUUUUUACCGACCAAAAUACAUAUCGUGCAAGAAAACAGAGUCCGGAGAGCACACGAGGUGCCCACGAGGUAGGGGGGCGCGCCCAGGGGGUAGGGCGCGCCCUCCACCCUCGUGGAGGCCUCGUGUCCUUCCCGGACUGCUUCUUAUUUUUCUAAAUAUUCCAAAACGGAGAAAAUUUGCCAUUAGAACUGUUUUGGAGUCGGUUUACUUACCGUACCACAUACCUAUUCCCUUACGGAGUCUGAAACGUUCUGGAAAGUGUCCCUUAUGUAUUCCUUCGGUGUUACGGUUUCAAUUACAUUAGUUUCAACAUUUAUAGGAUUACCUGAGAUAUAAUGUUUAAUUCUUUGACCGUUCAUCACCUUUGGAUUUGUGCCUUCGAAGUUGUUGAUUUUUAUGGCACCGGAACGAUAGACCUCCUCGAUAACGUAAGGACCUUCCCAUUUAGAGAGAAGUUUUCCUGCAAAAAAUCUUAAACGAGAGUUUUAUAAUAAUACAUAAUCACCUAUAUUAAACUCAUGCUUUUAUAUUCUUUUGUCAUGCCUUCUUUUAACUUUUUCUUUAAACAACUUGGCAUUCUCAUAGGCUUGGGUUCUCCAUUCAUCAAGUGAGCUAAUGUCAAAUAACCUCUUCUCACCGGCAAGUUUGAAAUCAUAGUUGAGCUCUUUAAUGGCCCAAUAUGCCUUAUGUUCUAGUUCAAGAGGUAAGUGACAUGCUUUUCCAUAAACCAUUUUAUACGGAGACAUACCCAUAGGAUUUUUAUAUGCAGUUCUAUAUGCCCAUAAUGCAUCAUCAAGUUUCUUGGAACAAUUCUUUCUAGAUCUAUUAACAGUCUUUUGCAAAAUUAAUUUGAGUUCUCUAUUACUCAAUUCUACUUGACCACUAGAUUGUGGGUGAUAAGGAGAUGCAAUUCUAUGAUUAACAUCAUACUUGGUAAGCAUUUUACGGAAAGCACCAUGAAUAAAAUGUGAACCACCAUCAGUCAUUAAAUAUCUAGGGACUCCAAACCUUGGAAAAAUAACUUCCUUAAGCAUCUUAAUAGAGGUGUUAUGACCAGCACUACUAGUUGGAAUAGCUUCUACCCACUUAGUAACGUAAUCAACAACAACUAAAAUAUGAGUAUACCCAUUAGAGGCAGGAAACGGUCCCAUAUAAUCAAAGCCCCAAACAUCAAAUGGUUCAAUAACAAGUGAAUAAUUCAUAGGCAUUUCUUGACGUCUACUAAUAUUACCAAUUCUUUGACAUUCAUCACAAGAUAAGACAAACUUACGAGCAUCCUUGAACAGAGUAGGCCAAUAAAAACCGGAUUGCAAUACCUUAUGUGCAGUUCUAUCUCCAGCAUGGUGUCCUCCAUAAGCCUCGGAGUGACACUUGCGUAGGAUCUAUUCCUGUUCAUGCUCAGGUACACAACGUCUAAUAACACCCUCUACUCCUUCUUUAUAAAGAUGUGGGUCAUCCCAAAAGUAAUGUCUCAAAUCAUAGAAAAACUUUUUCUUUUGCUGGUAUGUGAAACUAGGUGGUAUAAAUUUAGCAACAAUGUAAUUAGCAUAAUCAGCAUACCAUGGAGAAGUAUGAGAAGCAUUUAUGACAUUUAAUUGUUCAUCAGGAAAGCUAUCAUCAAUAGGUAGUGGGUCAUCAAGAACAUUUUCUAACCUAGACAAGUUGUCUGCAACGGGGUUCUCAGCUCCCUUUCUAUCAAUAAUAUGCAAAUCAAAUUCUUGUAGCAAGAGAACCCAUCUAAUAAGUCUAGGUUUAUCAUCUUUCUUUUCCAUGAGAUAUUUAAUAGCAGCAUGAUCAGUGUGAAUAGUUACUUUAGAAUCAACAAUAUAAGGUCUGAACUUAUCACAAGCAAAUACAACUGCUAAGAAUUCUUUUUUAGUAGUAGCAUAAUUUCUCUGAGCACUGUCUAGAGUUUUACUAGCAUAUUGAAUAACAUUUAAUUUCUUAUCAACUCUUUGCCCUAGAACAACACCUAUAGCAUAAUCACUAGCAUCACACAUAAUUUCAAAGGGUAAAUCCCAAUCAGGUGGCUGAACAAUAGGUGCAGAGAUCAAUGCUUUCUUAAGUAUUUCAAAUGCUUCUACACAAUCAUCAUCAAAGACAAAUGGUAUAUCUUUUUGUAACAGAUUAGUCAGAGGCCGAGAAAUUUUUUAGAAGUCCUUAAUGAACCUCCUAUAAAAACCGGCAUGACCAAGGAAACUUCUUAUACCUUUGAUGUCCUUGGGACAUGGCAUCUUUUCAAUAGCAUCAACUUUAGCUUUAUCAACUUCAAUACCUCUUUCAGAAAUUUUAUGCCCCAAGACAAUGCCUUCAUUAACCAUAAAGUGGCACUUCUCCCAAUUCAAGACAAGAUUAGUUUCUUCACAUCUCUGCAAAACUCGAUCAAGGUUGCUCAAGCAAUCAUCAAAAGAGGAUCCAUAAACGGAGAAAUCAUCCAUGAAAACCUCACAAAUCUUUUCACAAAAGUCAGAGAAUAUAGCCAUCAUGCAUAUUUGAAAGGUAGCAGGUGCAUUACAUAAACCAAAAGGCAUACAUCUAUAAGCAAAAGUACCGAAAGGGCAAGUAAAAGUGGUCUUAUCUUGAUCAUCAGCUGACACAGGUAUUUGAGAGAAACCAGAAUAACCAUCUAGAAAGCAAAAAUGUGUGUUUGGAUAAUCUUUCUAGCAUUUGAUCAAUAAAAGGUAAGGGGUAAUGAUCCUUUUUAGUAGCCUUAUUUAAUUUGCGGAAAUCAAUUACCAUCCUAUAACCUGUAAUAAUUCUUUGCGGAAUCAAUUCAUCUUUAUCAUUAGGAACGACAGUAAUACCUCCUUUCUUAGGGACACAAUGGACAGGACUUGCCCACUGACUAUCAGCAACGGGAUAGAUUAUACCUGCCUGAAGGAGUUCUAGUAUUUCCUUUCUUACCACUUCUUUCAUCUUAGGAUUUAACCGUCGUUGGUGAUCGAUAACUGGUUUGGCAUCUUUCUGCAAAUUUAUUUUGUGUUGGCAUAGAGUGGGACUAAUGCCCUUAAGAUCAUCAAGAGUAUAUCGAAUAGCAGCACGGUGCUUCUUCAGAGUUUUCAAUAAUUUUUCUUCCUCCUUCUCUGAAAGGUCAGCACUAAUAAUAACAGGAUAUAUCUUCUUUUCAUCAAGAUAAGCAUAUUUAAGAGUAUCAGGUAAUGGUUUAAGUUCAAACACGGGAUCACCCUUGGGUGGAGGAGGAUCCCCUAGGAUUUCAACAGGCAAGUUGUGUUUCAGAAUAGGUCCCUGUUUAAAGAAUACGUCAUCUAUUUCCCUUCAUUCAUAAACAUAUCAUUUUCAUGGUCUAGCAAAUAUUGUUCUAAAGGAUCACUAGGAGGUACGGCAAUAGAAGCAAGACCAAUAAUUUCAUCUUUACUAGGCAAUUCCUCUUCAUGGUGUUGUCUAUGAAAUUUAGAAAAAUUAAACUCAUGAGACAUAUCAUCCAAACCAACAGUAACAACAUCCUUUUUGCUGUCUAUCUUAGCAUUAACAGUGUUUAAGAAGGGUCUACCAAAUAUAAUGGGACAAAAGCUAUCCUGUGGGGAACCAAGAACAAGGAAAUCAGCAGGAUAUUUAGUUUUCCCACACAAGACUUCAACAUCUCUAACAAUUCCAAUUGAUGAUAUAGUAUCUCUAUUGGCAAGUUUAAUUAUAACAUCAAUUUCUUCUAACUCAGCGGGUGAAAUAUCAUGCAUAAUUUCUUUGUAUAAGUCAAUAGGUAUUGCACUGGCACUGGCACCCAUAUCACAUAAGCCAUGAUAACAAUAAUCUCCUAUUUUAACAGAAAUAAUAGGCAUGCCUACCACGGGUCUAUGUUUAUCUUUAGCACAAGGUUUAGCAAUUCUAGCAGUUUCAUCGCAAAAAUAAAUAACAUGCCCAUCAAUAUUAUCAGCCAAGAGAUCUUUAACAAUAGCAAUAUUAGGUUCAACUUUAACUUGCUCAGGAGGUGUAUAAGUUCUAAUAUUACUUUUACGAACCACAGUUGAAGCUUUAGCAUGAUCCUUUAUUCUAACAGGGAAAGGUGGUUUCUCAACAUAAGCAGUAGGAACAAUAGGAUCAUUAUAAGUGAUAAUCUUUUCUUCAACUUUAAUAGGUGCAACUACUUUUACUUCUAUGGGAGGAUGAUAUUUAAACCACUUAUCCUUAGGUGUUAUACUAAGCAUUAGGAACAAUAGGAUCAUUAUAAGUGAUAGUCUUCAUCAUAAAAGAACCAGUACAAGAAGUAUCAAGCAUGGUGCGAUUGUUGUCAGAAAGCCGAGCAUAAAUUUUUUGAAUAAUCAUUUCUCUUGAGAGCUCAUGAUUGGGGCAUGAAUAUAGCAUUGACUUAAGCCUCCCCCAAGCUUGAGCGAUACUUUCUCCUUCGCGAGGCCAAAAUUAUAUAUAUAAUUAUGAUCACGAUGAACAAGAUGCGUAGGGUAAAACUUCUGAUGAAAUUCCAAUUUCAAUCGCUUGUAGUUCCAUGAUCCCAUAUCAUCACAUACCGGGCAUACCUGCAAGCUUAAAUAAUCCACAAAUUUCAUCCACAUAUAUUAGGUGCUCAUCAGGAUGUAAUGUUCCAUCUCUUGUAAAAGGAUUAGCUAGCAGUUUCUCUAUCAUACCCGAAGGAAUUUCAAAGUAGACAUUUUAAUUUUCAGUAGGUUCAGUAGGUUGAGGAGCAACUCUUUGCUCUACUGGUCGGGGUGAAGAUACCCCGAACAAGCCCCUCAGAGGAUUACUUUCCAUAGUAACAAGUGACAGUAAAUUUCAGCACACUAUAUAAAUUUUUCCUUACCAAAUUCCACCUACCAAAGGCGCUUCACUCCCCGACAACGGCGCCAGAAAAGAGUCUUGAUGACCCACAGGUAUAGGGAUCUAUCGUAGUCCUUUCGAUAAGUAAGAGUAUCGAACCCAACGAGGAGUAGAAGGAAAUGAUAAGCGGUUUUUAGCAAGGUAUUCUCUGCAAGCACUGAAAUUGUAGGUAACAAAUAGUUUUGUGAUAAGUUAAUUUGUAACGAGCAACAAGUAACAAAAGUAAAUAAAGUGCAGCAAGGUGGCCCUGAUAACCCACAAUUAUAGGGGAUCGCAACAGUUUUCGAGGGUAGAGUAUUCAACCCAAAUUUAUUGAUUCGACACAAGGGGAGCCAAAGAAUAUUCUCAAGUAUUAGCAACUGAGUUGUCAAUUCAGCCACACCUGGAUAACUUAGUAUCCGCAGCAAAGUAUUUAGUAGCAAAGUAAUAUGGAAGUAAUGGUAACGGUAGCAAAAGUAAUAUUUUUGGGUUUAGUAGUGAUUGUAACAGUAGCAACGGAAAAGUAAAUAAGCGAAGAACAAUAUGUGAAAAGCUCGUAGGCAUUGGAUCGGUGAUGGAGAAUUAUGCCGGAUGCGGUUCAUCAUGUAACAGUCAUAACAUAGGGUGACACAGAACUAGCUCCAAUUCAUCAAUGUAAUGUAGGCAUGUAUUCCGAAUAUAGUCAUACGUGCUUAUGGAAAAGAACUUGCAUGACAUCUUUUGUCCUACCCUCCCGUGGCAGCGGGGUCCUAAUGGAAACUAAGGGAUAUUAAGGCCUCCUUUUAAUAGAGAACCAGACCAAAGCAUUAACACAUAGUGAAUACAUGAACUCCUCAAACUACGGUCAUCACCGGGAGUGGUCCCGAUUAUUGUCACUUCGGGGUUGCCGGAUCAUAACACAUAGUAGGUGACUAUAGACUUGCAAGAUAGGAUCAAGAACUCACAUAUAUUCAUGAAAACAUAAUAGGUUCAGAUCUGAAAUCAUGGCACUCGGGCCCUAGUGACAAGCAUUAAGCAUAGCAAAGUCAUAACAACAUCAAUCUAAGAACAUAGUGGAUACUAGGGACCAAACCCUAACAAAACUAACUCGAUUACAUGAUAAAUCUCAUCCAACCCAUCACCGUCCAGCAAGCCUACGAUGGAAUUACUCACACACGGCAAUGAGCAUCAUGAAAUUGGUGAUGGAGGAUGGUUGAUGAUGACGACGGUGACGGAUUCCCCUCUCCGGAGCCCCGGACGGACUCCAGAUCGGCCCUCCCGAGAGAGUUUAGGGCUUGGCGGUGGCUCCGUAUCGUAAAACGGGAUGAAUCUUUCUCUCUGAUUUUUUCUCCCCGAACACGAAUAUAUGGAGUUGGAGUUGAGGUCGGUGGAGCUCCAGGGGGCCCACGAGGCAGGAGCCGCGCCCAGGGGGGCAGGCACGCCCCACCCUCGUGGACAGGGUGUGGGCCCCCUGGCCUUCAUUCUUUCGCCAAUAUUUUUUAUUAUUUCCAAAAAUAAUCUCUGUGGAGUUUCAGGUCAUUCCGAGAACUUUUGUUUCUGCACAUAAAUAACACCAUGGCAAUUCUGCUGAAAACAGCAUCAGUCCGGGUUAGUUUCAUUCAAAUCAUGCAAGUUAGAGUCCAAAACAAGGGCAAAAGUGUUUGGAAAAGUAGAUACGACGGAGACGUAUCAACUCCCCCAAGCUUAAACCUUUGCUUGUCCUCAAGCAAUUCAGUUGAUAAACUGAAAGUGAUAAAGAAAAACUUUUACAAACUCUGUUUGCUCUUGUUGUUGUAAAUAUGUAAAGCCAGCAUUCAAGUUUUCAGCAAAGAUUAUGACUAACCACAUUCACAAUAACAUUUAGGUCUCAUGGUUACUCAUGUCAAUGGCAUAAUCAACUAGCGAGCAAUAAUAAUAAAUCUCGAAUGACAACACUUUCUCAAAACAAUCAUAAUAUGAUAUAACAAGAUGGUAUCUCGCUAGCCCUUUCUGAGACCGCAAAACAUAAAUGCAGAGCACCUUUAAAGCUCAAGGACUGACUAAACAUUGUAAUUCAUGGUAAAAGAGAUCCAGUCAUAGUCAUACCCAAUAUAAAUUAAUAGUAAUGAAUGCAAAUGAUAGCGGUGCUCUCCAGCUGGUGCUUUUUAAUAAGAGGGUGAUGACUCAACAUAAAAGUAAAUAGAUAGGCCCUUCGCAGAGGGAAGCAGGGAUUUGUAGAGGUGCCAGAGCUCGAUUUUGAAAUAGAGAUAAAUAAUAUUUUGAGCGGUAUACUUUCAUUGUCAAUAUAACAACCAAGAGAUGGCGAUAUCUUCCAUGCUACACACAUUAUAGGCGGUUCCCAAACAGAAUGGUAAAGUUUGUACUCCCCCUCCACCAACAAGCAUCCAUUCAUGGCUUGCUCGAAACAACAAGUGCCUCCAACUAACAACAGUCCCGGGGGAGUUUUGUUUGCAAUUAUUUUGAUUUAAUUUGCAUAAAGCAUGGGACUGGGCAUCCCGGUGACCAGACAUUUUCUCGUGAGUGAGGAGCGGAGUCCACUCCUCUUGAGAAUAACCCGCCUAGCAUGGAAGAUACGGACAGCCCUAGUUGAUACAUGAGCUAUUCGAGCAUACAAAACAGAAUUUCAUUUGAAGGUUUAGAGUUUGGCACAUACAAAUUUACUUGAAACGGCAGGUAGAUACUAUAUAUAGGAAGGUAUAGUGGACUCAUAUGGAAUAACUUUGGGGUUUAAGGGAUUGGAUGCACAAGCAGUAUUCCCGCUUAGUACAAGUGAAGGCUAGAAAAAGACUGGGAAGCGACCAACUAGAGAGCGACAACAGUCAUGAACAUGCAUUAAAAUUAAUAAACAUUGAGUGCAAGCAUGAGUAGGAUAUAAUCCACCAUGAACAUAAAUAUCAUGAAGGCUAUGUUGAUUUGUUUCAACUACAUGUGUGAACAUGUGCCAAGUCGAGUCACUUAAAUCAUUCAAAGGAGGAUACCACCCUAUCAUACCACAUCACAACCAUUUUAAUAGCAUGUUGGCACGCAGGUAAACCAUUAUAACUCAUAGCUAAUCAAGCAUGACACGAGCAACUAUAAUCUCUAAUUGUCAUUGCAAACAUGUUUGUUCAUAAUAGGAUGAAUCAGGAACGAUGAACUAAUCAUAUUUACAAAAACAAGGGAGGUCGAGUUCAUAUCAGCUUCUCUCAUCUCAAUCAGUCCAUCAUAUAUCGUCAUAAUUGCCUUUCACUUGCAUGACCGAACGAUGUGAAUAAUAAUAAUAGUGCACGUGCAUUGGACUAAGCUGGAAUCUGCGAGCAUUCAAUAAACAGGAAAAGACAAGGCAAUAUGGGCUCUUGGUUAAAUCAACAAUAAUGCAUAUAAGAGCCACUUCAACAAUUUAAUUAUGGUCUUCUCCUAUCGACCCCCAAAGAAAAGAAAAGAAAUAAAACUAUUUACAUGGGAAAGCCCCCAACAAGCAAAAGAAGAAUAGGAAAUAUUUUGGGGUUUUCUUUUAAUUAUUUCUACUAUAGCUAGCAAGUAAACUAACUAAAAGCUACUACUAUUUUUUUGGUUUUCUUAAGGUUUUUCAAACACACAAGAAGAAAGCAGGAAAAGAAAAUAAACUAGCAUGUAUAUUACAGUGAAAGAGUAUGAACACCGACAUCUAGCAAUGAGUGUGUAAAUGUAAAUGUAAUGUCGGUGAGAAAUACGUACUCCCCCAAGCUUAGGCUUUUGGCCUAAGUUGGUCUAUUGCCACGGAUGGCCUGGCGGAUAUCCAAAGUUGUAGUUGGGGUCAUACUGAGAUGCAGCGGCUAUCACAUCAUGGGCUGCAGCUUGGAGGCGAGCUGCCCUCGUCCUCCUUUCGUACUCAUUUGCCUCCUCCCUGGUUAUAAAAUGUCUCCCCUUUGCCUGAAAGUCAAAGAGAGUAGGGGCGGGAAGAACAAUAUUGACGGCGUGACGCCUGUCAAAGUUUAGUCGAUACUGGAGAGGUGGUUCAUUCCUCUCGACAACCUAAUGGUGAACCAUAGCAUUAAAGUCUAGAUAAGUAGGAGGCAAUUCAAUAUCAUCAUCGCGUAUGGUUACACCAAGAAAAUCAGCUAAGCGGGUUGCAUAAAUUCCACCAAAGAAAUCUCCAUUAAAUCUAUUAUUAUGCAACCUACGUGCAACAAUGGCUCCCAAAUUAUAACGUUUAUCUCCUAACACAGCGCUCCUGAGAACACUGAGGUCAGGGACACACAUAUGACAUGCUUCAUCUUUACCAUUUAUGCACCUACCUAUAAAGAGAGCAAAAUAAUGUAUAGCAGGAAAAUGAAUGCUCCCUAUGGUAGCUUGUGCUAUAUCUCUAGAUUCCCCCACAGUUAUACUAGCAAGAAAAUCUCUAAAUUCAUAUUUGCGAGGUUCACUAGUACUACCCCAUUGUGGAAAUUUGCAAGCAGUAGUAAAAUCCUCUAAGUCCAUAGUAUAAGAAUUUUCGUAAAGAUCAAACAGGACAGUUUGAGAAUUGCGUGAAGAUGAAAAUUCAAACCUCCUCACAAAGGAACUAGUGAGAUAGUGGUACUGGCGGCAUUUUUCUGCCUUGAAGCUCACAAGAUCAGCGUUACGCAAAUAUGCGUUAAAUUCUUCCUUGAUUCCCGCUCGAUCCAUAAAGUCUUCCGAAGGCCAUUCACAAGGCCGCACUGGAGCGUCCCUUGGUGGUUCGUCGUCAGCAUCACGCAUUGCAAGCCUGGGUCCUUUCUUCCUUGAAGAACCACCUUGGUACUGAAGGAAAUAUGCCCUAGAGGCAAUAAUAAAUUAUUAUAUAUUUCCUUAUAUCAUGAUAAAUGUUUAUUAUUCAUGCUAGAAUUGUAUUAACCAGAAACAUAAUACAUGUGUGAAUACAUAGACAAACAGAGUGUCACUAGUAUGCCUCUACUUGACUAGCUCGUUAAUCAAAGACGGUUAUGUUUCCUAACCAUAGACAUGAGUUGUCAUUUGAUUAACGGGAUCACCUCAUUAGGAGAAUGACGUGAUUGACAUGACCCAUUCCGUUAGCUUAGCACCCGAUUGUUUAGUAUGUUGCUAUUGCUUUCUUCAUGACUUAUACAUGUUCCUAUGACUAUGAGAUUAUGCAACUCCCGUUUACCGGAGGAACACUUUGUGUGCUACCAAACGUCACAACGUAACUGGGUGAUUAUAAAGGUGCUCUACAGGUGUCUCCAAAGGUACUUGUUGGGUGGGCAUAUUUCGAGAUUAGGAUUUGUCACUCCGAUUGUCGGAGAGGUAUCUCUGGGCCCACUCGGUAAUGCACAUCACUAUAAGCCUUGCAAGCAUUGUGACUAAUGAGUUAGUUGCGGGAUGAUGUAUUACGGAACGAGUAAAGAGACUUGCCGGUAACGAGAUUGAACUAGGCAUCGAGAUACCGACAAUCGAAUCUCGGGCAAGUAACAUACCGAUGACAAAGGGAACAACGUAUGUUGUUAUGCGGUCUGACCGAUAAAGAUCUUCGUAGAAUAUGUGGGAGCCAAUAUGGGCAUCCAGGUCCCACUAUUGGUUAUUAACCGGAGAGGUGUCUCGGUCAUGUCUACAUAGUUCUCGAACCCAAAGGGUUCGCACGCUUAAAGUUACGAUGACAGUUAUAUUAUGAGUUUAUGUGAUUUGAUGUACCGAAGGUUUUUCGGAAUCCCGGAUGUGAUCACGGACAUGACGAGGAGUCUCGAAAUGGUCGAGACGUAAAGAUUCAUAUAUUGGACGACUAUAUUCGGACACCAGAAGUGUUCCGGAGAAGUUUCGGAUUAAACCGGAGUGCCGGAGGGUUACCGGAACCCCCCGGGGAAGUAUUGGGCCUUGGUGGGCCUUGAGGGGAGAGAGAGGGCAGCAGCUAGGAGGUGGCGCGCCCCCUCCCAAGGGGAGUCCUAGUUGGACUAGGAGAGGGGGGCGCAGCCCCCUUUCCCUCUCCCUCUCCCUCUCUUUCCUUCCCCCCCUUCUUUCCUAGUAGGACUAGGAAAGGGGAGUCCUACUCCUACUAGGAGGAGGACUCCCCCUCUCUCCUUGGCGCGCCUAGGGCAUCCGGCCUCCCCCUUGCUCCUUUAUAUACGGGGGCAGGGGGGCACCUAAGAACACACUUGAUAUACGAUAUUUUAGCCGUGUGCGGUGCCCCCCCUCCACCAGAUUACACCUCGAUAAUACCGUCGCGGAGCUUAGGCGAAGCCCUGCGUCGGUGGAAGAUCAUCAUCGUCACCACGCCGUCGUGCUGACGAAACUCUCCCUCAACACUCGGCUGGAUCGGAGUUCGAGGGACGUCAUCGAGCUGAACGUGUGUAGAACUUCGGAGGUGCCGUGCGUUCGGUACUUGAUCGGUCGGAUCGUGAAGACGUACGACUACAUCAACCGCGUUGCGAUAACGCUUCUGUUGUCGGUCUACGAGGGUACGUGGACAACACUCUCCCCUCUCGUUGCUAUGCAUCACCAUGAUCUUGCGUGUGCGUAGGAAUUUUUUUGAAAUUACUACGUUCCCCAACAGUGGCAUCCGAGCCUGGUUUUAUGCGUUGAUGCUAUGCACGAGUAGAACACAAGUGAGUUGUGGGCGAUAUAAGUCAUACUGCUUACCAGCAUGUCAUACUUUGGUUCAGCGGUAUUGUGAGAUGAAGCGGCCCGGACCGACAUUACGCGUACGCUUACGCGAGACUGGUUUCACCGUUGCGAGCACUCGUUGCUUAAAGGUGACCGGCGGGUGUCUGUCUCUCUCACUUUAGUUGAACCGAGUGUGGCUACGCCCGGUCCUUGCGAAGGUUAAAACAGCACCAACUUGACAAACUGUCGUUGUGGUUUUGAUGCGUAGGUAAGAACGGUUCUUGCUAAGCCCGUAGCAGCCACGUAAAACAUGCAACAAAGUAGAGGACGUCUAACUUGUUUUUGCAGGGCAUGUUGUGAUGUGAUAUGGUCAAGACAUGAUGUGAUAUAAUGUGUUGUAUGCGAUGAUCAUGUUUUGUAACCGAGUUAUCGGCAACUGGCAGGAGCCAUAUGGUUGUCGCUUUAUUGUAUGAGAUGCAAUCGCCAUGUAAUAGUUUUACUUUAUCACUAAGCGGUAGCGAUAGUCGUAAAAGCAAUAUGUUGGCGAGACGACAACGAUACUACGAAGGAGAUCAAGGUGUCGAGCCGGUGACGAUGGUGAUCAUGACGGUGCUUCGGAGAUGGAGAUCACAAGCACGGUGCUUCGGAGAUGGAGAUCACGAGCACAAGAUGAUGAUGGCCAUAUCAUAUCACUUAUAUUGAUUGCAUGUGAUGUUAAUCUUUUAUGCAUCUUAUCUUGCUUUGAUUGACGGUAGCAUUAUAAGAUGAUCUCUCACUAAAAUUUCAAGAUAAAAGUGUUCUCUCUGAGUAUGCACCGUUGCAAAAGUUCUUCAUGCUGAGACACCACGUGAUGAUCGGGUGUGAUAGGCUCUACGUUCAAAUACAACGGGUGCAAAACAGUUGCACACGCGGAAUACUCAGGUUAAACUUGACGAGCCUAGCAUAUGUACAGAUAUGGCCUCGGAACACAGAGACCGAAAGGUCGAGCGUGAAUCAUAUAGUAGAUAUGAUCAACAUAGUGAUGUUCACCAUUGAAACUACUCCAUCUCACGUGAUGAUCGGACAUGGUUUAGUUGAUUUGGAUCACGUAAUCACUUAGAUGAUUAGAGGGAUAUCUAUCUAAGUGGGAGUUCUUAAGUAAUAUGAUUAAUUGAACUUAAAUUUAUCAUGUACUUAGUACCUGAUAGUAUCUUGCUUGUCUAUGUUGUAGAUAAAUGGCCCGUGUUGUUGUUCCGUUGAAUUUUAAUGCGUUCCUUGAGAAAGCUAAGUUGAAAGAUGAUGGUAGCAAUUACACGGACUGGGUCCGUAACGAGGAUUAUCCUCAUUGCUGCUCAGAAUAAUUAUGUCCUGGAAGCACCGCUAGGUUCCAGGCCUCCUACAGGAGCAACACCAGAAGUUAUGAACGUCUGGCAAAGCAAAGCUGAUGACUACUCAAUAGUUCAGUGUGCCAUGCUUUACGGCUUAGAACCGGGUCUUCAACGACGUUUUUGAACGUCAUGGAGCAUAUGAGAUGUUCCAGGAGUUGAAGUUAAUAUUUCAAGCAAAUGCCCGGAUUGAGAGAUAUGAAGUCUCCAAUAAGUUCUAUAGCUGCAAGAUGGAAGAGAAUAGUUCUGUCAGUGAGCAUAUACUCAGAAUGUCUGGGGUAUAACAAUCACUUGAUUCAACUGGGAGUUAAUCUUCCGGAUGAUUGCGUCAUUGACAGAAUUCUUCAAUCACUGCCACCAAGCUAUAAGAGCUUCGUGAUGAACUAUAACAUGCAAGGGAUGAAUAAGACUAUUCCCGAGCUCUUCGCAAUGCUAAAGGCAGCGGAGGUAGAAAUCAAAAAGGAGCAUCAAGUGUUGAUGGUCAGUAAAACCACUAGUUUCAAGAAAAAGGGCAAAGGGAAGAAGAAAGGGAACUUCAAGAAGAAUAGCAAGCAAGUUGUUGUUCAGGAGAAGAAACCCAAGUCUGGACCUAAGCCUGAAACUGAGUGCUUCUACUGCAAGCAAACUGGUCACUGGAAGCGGAACUGCCCCAAGUAUUUGGAGGAAAAGAAGGAUGGCAAGGUUAACAAAGGUAUAUGUGAUAUACAUGUUAUUGAUGUGUAACUUACCAAUGCUCGUAGUAGCACCUGGGUAUUUGAUACUGGUUCUGUUGCUAAUAUUUGCAACUCGAAACAGGGGCUACGGAUUGAGCGAAGAUUGGCUAAGGACGAGGUGACGAUGCGCGUGGGAAAUGGUUCCAAAGUCGAUGUGAUCGCCGUCGGCACGCUACCUCUACAUCUACCUUUGGGAUUAGUAUUAGACCUAAAUAAUUGUUAUUUGGUGACAGCGUUGCGCAUGAACAUUAUAUCUGGAUCUUGUUUAAUGCGAGACGGUUAUUCAUUUAAAUCAGAUAAUGAUGGUUGUUCUAUUUAUAUGAAUAAUAUCUUUUAUGGUCAUGCACCCUUCAAGAGUGGUCUAUUUUUAAUGAAUCUCGAUAGUAGUGAUACACAUAUUCAUAAUGUCGAAGCCAAAAGAUGCAGAGUUAAUAAUGACAGUGCAACUUAUUUGUGGCACUGCCGUUUAGGUCAUAUCAGUGUAAAGCGCAUGAAGAAACUCCAUACUGAUGGAAUUUUGGAAUCACUUGAUUUUGAAUCACUUGGUACUUGUGAACCGUGCCUCAUGGGCAAGAUGACCAAAACACCGUUCUCCGGUACUAUGGAGAGAGCAACAGAUUUGUUGGAAAUCAUACAUACAGAUGUAUGUGGUCCGAUGAAUAUUGAGGCUCGUGGCGGAUAUCGUUAUUUUCUCACCUUCACAGAUGAUUUGAGCAGAUAUGGGUAUAUCUACUUAAUGAAACAUAAGUCUGAAACAUUUGAAAAGUUCAAAGAAUUUCAGAGUGAAGUUGAAAAUCAUCGUAACAAGAAAAUAAAAUUCCUACGAUCUGAUCGUGGAGGAGAAUAUUUGAGUUACGAGUUUGGUCUACAUUUGAAACAAUGCGGAAUAGUUUCGCAACUCACGCCACCCGGAACACCACAGCGUAAUGGUGUGUCCGAACGUCGUAAUCGUACUUUAUUAGAUAUGGUGCGAUCUAUGAUGUCUCUUACUGAUUUACCGCUAUUGUUUUGGGGUUAUGCUUUAGAGACGGCUGCAUUCACUCUAAAUAGGACACCAUCGAAAUCCGUUGAGACGACGCCUUUUGAACUAUGGUUUGGCAAGAAACCAAAGUUGUCGUAUCUUAAAGUUUGGGGUUGCGAUGCUUAUGUGAAGAAACUUCAACCUGAUAAGCUCGAGCCUAAAUCGGAGAAAUGUGUCUUCAUAGGAUACCCAAAGGAGACUGUUGGGUACACCUUCUAUCACAGAUCCGAAGGCAAGAUAUUCGUUGCUAAGAAUGGAUCCUUUCUAGAGAAGGAGUUUCUCUCGAAAGAUGUAAGUGGGAGGAAAGUAGAACUUGAUGAGGUAACUGUACCUGCUCCCUUAUUGGAAAGUAGAUCAUCGCAGAAAUCAGUUUCUGCGACACCUACACCAAGUAGUGAGGAAGUUAAUGAUAAUGAUCAUGAAACUUCAGAUCAAGUUAUUACUGAACUCCGUAGGUCAACUAGAUCAAGAUCCGCACCAGAGUGGUAUGGUAAUCCUGUUCUGGAGGUCAUGUUACUAGACCAUGGCGAACCUACGAACUAUGAAGAAGCGAUGGUGAGCCCAGAUUCCGCAAAAUGGCUUGAAGCCAUGAAAUCCGAGAUGGGAUCCAUGUAUGAGAACAAAGUAUGGACUUUGGUUGACUUGCCCGAUGGUCGGCAAGCCAUUGAAAAUAAAUGGAUCUUCAAGAAGAAGACUGACGCUGAUGGUAAUAUUACUGUCUAUAAAGCUCGACUUGUUGCGAAAGGUUUUCGACAAGUUCAAGGGAUUGACUACGAUGAGACCUUCUCACCCGUAGCGAUGCUUAAGUCUGUCCAAAUCAUGUUAGCAGUUGCCGCAUUUUAUGAUUAUGAAAUUUGGCAAAUGGAUGUCAAAACUGCGUUCCUAAAUGGAUUUCUGGAAGAAGAGUUGUAUAUGAUGCAACCGGAAGGUUUUGUCGAUCCAAAGGGAGCUAACAAAGUGUGCAAGCUCCAGCGAUCCAUUUAUGGACUGGUGCAAGCCUCUCGGAGUUGGAAUAAACGCUUUGAUAGUGUGAUCAAAGCAUUUGGUUUUAUACAGACUUUUGGAGAAGCCUGUAUUUACAAGAAAGUGAGUGGGAGCUCGAUAGCAUUUCUGAUAUUAUAUGUGGAUGACAUAUUACUGAUUGGAAAUGAUAUAGAAUUUCUGGAUAGCAUAAAGGGAUACUUGAAUAAGAGUUUUUCAAUGAAAGAUCUCGGUGAAGCUGCAUAUAUAUUAGGCAUUAAGAUCUAUAGAGAUAGAUCAAGACGCUUAAUUGGACUUUCACAAAGCACAUACCUUGACAAAGUUUUGAAGAAGUUCAAAAUGGAUCAAGCAAAGAAAGGGUUCUUGCCUGUACUACAAGGUGUGAGAUUGAGUAAGACUCAAUGCCCGACCACUGCAGAAGAUAGAGAGAAGAUGAAAGAUGUUCCCUAUGCUUCAGCCAUAGGCUCUAUCAUGUAUGCAAUGCUGUGUACCAGACCUGAUGUGUCCCUAGCUAUAAGUUUAGCAGGGAGGUACCAAAGUAAUCCAGGAGUGGAUCACUGGACAGCGGUCAUGAACAUCCUGAAAUACCUGAAAAGGACUAAGGAUAUGUUUCUCGUAUAUGGAGGUGACAAAGAGCUCAUCGUAAGGGGUUACGUUGAUGCAAGCUUUGACACUGACCCGGACGAUUCGAAAUCGCAAACCGGAUACGUAUUUACAUUGAACGGUGGAGCUGUCAGUUGGUGUAGUUCCAAGCAAAGUGUCGUGGCGGGAUCUACGUGUGAAGCGGAAUACAUAGUUGCUUCGGAAGCAGCGAAUGAAGGAGUCUGGAUGAAGGAGUUCAUAUCCGAUCUAGGUGUCAUACCUAGUACAUCGGGACCAAUGAAAAUCUUUUGUGAUAAUACUGGUGCAAUUGCCUUAGCAAAGGAAUCCAGAUUUCACAGGAGAACCAAGCACAUCAGAAGACGCUUCAAUUCCAUCCGGGAUUUAGUCCAGGUGGGAGACAUAGAAAUUUGCAAGAUACAUACGGAUCUGAAUGUAGCAGACCCGUUGACUAAGCCUCUUCCACGAGCAAAACAUGAUCAGCACCAAGACUCCAUGGGUGUUAGAAUCAUUACUAUGUAAUCUAGAUUAUUGACUCUAGUGCAAGUGGGAGACUGAAGGAAAUAUGCCCUAGAGGCAAUAAUAAAGUAUUAUAUAUUUCCUUAUAUCAUGAUAAAUGUUUAUUAUUCAUGCUAGAAUUGUAUUAACCGGAAACAUAAUACAUGUGUGAAUACAUAGACAAACAGAGUGUCACUAGUAUGCCUCUACUUGACUAGCUCGUUAAUGAAAGAUGGUUAUGUUUCCUAACCAUAGACAUGAGUUGUCAUUUGAUUAACGGGAUCACCUCAUUAGGAGAAUGAUGUGAUUGACAUGACCCAUUACGUUAGCUUAGCACCCGAUCGUUUAGUAUGGUGCUAUUGCUUUCUUCAUGACUUAUACAUGUUCCUAUGACUAUGAGAUUAUGCAACUCCCGUUUAUCGGAGGAACACUUUGUGUGCUACCAAACGUCACAACGUAACUGGGUGAUUAUAAAGGUGCUCUACAGGUGUCUCCAAAGGUACUUGUUGGGUUGGCGUAUUUCGAGAUUAGGAUUUGUCACUCCGAUUGUCGGAGAGGUAUCUCUGGGCCCACUCGAUAAUGCACAUCACUAUAAGCCUUGCAAGCAUUGUGACUAAUGAGUUAGUUGCGGGAUGAUGUAUUACGGAACGAGUAAAGAGACUUGCCGGUAACGAGAUUGAACUAGGUAUCGAGAUACCGACAAUCGAAUCUCGGGCAAGUAACAUACCGAUGACAAAGGGAACAACAUAUGUUGUUAUGCGGUCUGACCGAUAAAGAUCUUCGUAGAAUAUGUGGGAGCCAAUAUGGGCAUCCAGGUCCCGCUAUUGGUUAUUGACCGGAGAGGUGUCUCGGUCAUGUCUACAUAGUUCUCGAACCCAAAGGGUCCGCACGCUUAAAGUUACGAUGACCGUUAUAUUAUGAGUUUAUGUGAUUUGAUGUACUGAAGGUUUUUCGGAGUCCCGGAUGUGAUCACGGACAUGACGAGGAGUCUCGAAAUGGUCGAGAUGUAAAGAUUGAUAUAUUGGACGACUAUAUUCGGACACCGGAAGUGUUCCGGAGAAGUUUCGGAUUAAACCGGAGUGCCGGAGGGUUACCGGAACCCCCCGGGGAAGUAUUGGGCCUUGGUGGGCCUUGAGGGGAGAGAGAGGGCAGCAGCCAGGAGGUGGCGCGCCCCCUUCCAAGGGGAGUCCUAGUUGGACUAGGAGAGGGGGGCGCAACCCCCUUUCCCUCUCCCUCUCCCUCUCUUUCCUUCCCCCCCUUCUUUCCUAGUAGGACUAGGAAAGGGGAGUCCUACUCCUACUAGGAGGAGGACUCCCCCUCUCUCCUUGGCGCGCCUAGGGCAGCCGGCGUCCCCCUUGCUCCUUUAUAUACAGGGGCAGGGGGGCACCUAAGAACACACUUGAUAUACGAUAUUUUAGCCGUGUGCGGUGCCCCCCUCCACCAGAUUACACCUCGAUAAUACCGUCGCGGAGCUUAGGCGAAGCCCUGCGUCGGUGGAACAUCAUCAUCGUCACCACGCCGUCGUGCUGACGAAACUCUCCCUCAACACUCGGCUGGAUCGGAGUUCGAGGGACGUCAUCGAGCUGAACGUGUGUAGAACUUCGGAGGUGCCGUGCGUUCGGUACUUGAUCGGUCGGAUCGUGAAGACGUACGACUACAUCAACCGCGUUGCGAUAACGCUUCCGCUGUCGGUCUACGAGGGUACGUGGACAACACUCUCCCCUCUCGUUGCUAUGCAUCACCAUGAUCUUGCGUGUGCGUAGGAAAUUUUUUGAAAUUACUACGUUCCCCAACAGGUACAUUUUCCUAAACAUAUUUCUUCCUCUGAAAAAUUUCUGAAAUUUUUAGUAACUUCAAAUAAAAGUGAACCAAGCUCACCAAAAUUGAUAGCAACUACUCCUACAAGUGCCUGGAGACUAUAUCAUGCAUUAGAACUACUUGGAACCAUAUAAAUUUGACAUGCAAGCUCAAGAACAUGGUCACCUAGGCAGCACAAAUUUGCAAUGAAUAAAGCACUAGAACAAAAACUAAUUGGACCAUUGGAGGAGUCACAUACCAAGGAACAAUCCCCCAAACCAGUUUUAUGAGAGGUGCUUUGAGCAAGGAGAUCGAAAAUCGCAGCAAAAUAAGCUAGAACUCGUGCUUGAGCUGGAUGGUGAUUUUUUGGGAGGAAGAAGAAGUGUGUGGGUGCAGGAAUAAGUGGAGGGGAGCCACGAUGGGCCCACGAGGCAGGGGGCGCACCCUGGACCCUCGUGGCUAGGUGCCAGCUCCCCCUGCUGUGUUCUCAGUGCCAGAUAUUCUCAAAUAUUCUAGAAAAAAUCAUAUUUUAAUUUCGGGGCAUUUGGAGACCUUUUAUUUUUCGGGGUAUUCUUUAUUGCACGGAUAAUUCAGAAAACAGACAGAAAAUACUAUUUUUACUUUAUUUCAACUAAAUAACAGAAAGUAAAAGGAGGGUACAGAAGGUUGUGCUUUCUAACUUCAUCCAUCUCAUGCUCAUCAAAAGGAAUCCACUAACAAGGUUGAUCAAGUCUUGUUAACAAACUCAUUCCGACUAACAUGGAACCGGAGAAAUUUCGAAUAACACUAUGUUACCUCAACGGGGAUAUGCACAUCCCCAAUAAUAAGAAUAUCAUAUUUCUUCUUGACAGUAGGAAGAGGAAAUUCAAAACCUCCAAAAAUAAUCGGUGGAAUUUUUCCAAUAGAGUUGAUACUAUGGACUUGAGGUUGUUUUCUCGAAAAUUGUACCGUAUGCUCAUUACCAUUAACAUGAAAAGUGACAUUGCCUUUGUUGCAAUCAAUAACAGCCCCUGCAGUAUUCAAAAAGGGUCUUCCAAGAAUAAUAGACAUACUAUUGUCCUCGGGAAUAUCAAGAAUAACAAAGUCCGUUAAAAUAGUAACGUUUGCAACUACAACAGGGACAUCCUCACAAAUACCGACAGGUAUAGCAGUUGAUUUAUCAGCCAUUUGCAAAGAUAUUUCAGUAGGUGUCAACUUAUUCAAAUCAAGUCUACGAUAUAAAGAGAGAGGCAUAACACUAACACCGGCUCCAAGAUCACAUAGAGCAGUUCUAACAUAAUUUCUUUUAAUGGAGCAUGGUAUAGUAGGUACUCCUGGAUCUCCAAGUUUCUUAGGUAUUCCACCCUUAAAAGUAUAAUUAGCAAGCAUGGUGGAAAUUUCAGCUUCCGGUAUCUUUCUUUUAUUUGUAACAAUUUCUUUCAUGUACUUAGCAUAAGGAUUCAUUUUGGGCAUAUCAGUUAAUCGCAUACGUAAGAAGAUAGGUCUAAUCAUUUCAGCAAAGCGCUCAAAAUCCUCAUCAUCCUUUUUCUUGGAUGGUUUGGGAGGAAAAGGCAUGGGUUUCUGAACCCAUGGUUCUCUUUCUUUACCAUGUUUCCUAGCAACAAAGUCUCUUUUAUCAUAAAGUUGAUUCUUUGAUUGUGGAUUAUCAAGAUCAACAGUAGGUUCAAUUUCUACAUCAUUAUCGUUACUAGGUUGAGCAUCAACAUGAACAUCAUCAUUAAUAUUAUCACUAGGUUCAUGUUCAUUAACGGAUUGUGUUUCAGCAUCAGAAAUAGAAAUAUCAUUUGGAUUCUCAGGUGUUUCAGCAAUAGGUUCACUAGAAGCAUGCAAAGUCCUAUCAUUUUUUUUCUUCUUUUUAGAAGGACUGGGUGCAUCAAUAUUAUUUCUCUGAGAAUCUUGCUCAAUUCAGCAAAGCGCUCAAAAUCCUCAUCAUCCUUUUUCUUGGAUGGUUUGGGAGGAAAAGGCAUGGGUUUCUGAACCCAUGGUUCUCUUUCUUUACCAUGUUUCCUAGCAACAAAGUCUCUCUUAUCAUAACGUUGAUUCUUUGAUUGUGGAUUAUCAAGAUCAACAGCAGGUUCAAUUUCUACAUCAUUAUCGUUACUAGGUUGAGCAUCAACAUGAACAUCAUCAUUAAUAUUAUCACUAGGUUCAUGUUCAUUAACGGAUUGUGUUUCAGCAUCAGAAAUAGAAAUAUCAUUUGGAUUCUCAGGUGUUUCAGCAAUAGGUUCACUAGAAGCAUGCAAAGUCCUAUCAUUUUUCUUUUUCUUCUUUUUAGAAGGACUGGGUGCAUCAAUAUUAUUUCUCUGAGAAUCUUGCUCAAUUCUCUUAGGGUGGCCUUCAGGACACAAAGGUUCCUGAGUCAUUCUACCAGUUCUAGUAGCCACUCUAACAGCAUAGUCAUUAUUCUUAUUAUUCAAUUCAUUGAGCAAAUCAUUCUGAGCUUUAAGUACUUGUUCUACUUGAGUGGUAACCAUAGAAGCAUGUUUACUAAUGAGUUUAAGUUCACCUUUAACUCUAGACAUAUAAUCACUCAAGUGUUCAAGCAUAUAGGAAUUGUGUUUCAAUUGUCUACCAACAUAAGCAUUGAAAUUUUCUUGUUUGACAAAAAAAUUGUCGAACUCAUCUAAGCAUUGUCUAGCAGACUUAUAACGAGGAAUAUCACCUUCAUCAAAUCUAUAGAGAGAAUUUACCUUUACUACCUGUGUCGGGUUAUUAAGUCCAUGAGUUUCUUCAAUAGGUAAUGGAUUAAGAUCAUAUAUUUCUUCAACAGGCGGUAAAUUAAGACCAUGUAUUUCUUCAAUAGGAGGUAAAUUCUUAACAUCUUCAGCUUUAAUACCCUUUUCUUUCAUAGGUUUCUUUGCCUCUUGCAUAUCUUCAAGACUGAGAAAUAGAACACCCCUCUUCUUCGGAGUUGGCUUAGGAAUAGGCUCAGGAAUUGGCUCAGGAAGUGUCCAAUUAUUUUCAUUUGUCAACAUAUUAUUCAAUAGAAUUUCAGCUUCAUCCGGUGUUCUUUCCGUGAAAACAGAACUAGCACAACUAUCCAGGUAAUCUCUGGAAGCAUCGGUUAGUCCAUUAUAAAAGAUAGCAAGUAUUUCAUUUUUCUUAAGAGGAUGAUCAGGCAAAGCAUUAAGUAAUUGGAGAAACCUCCCCCAAGCUUGUGGGAGACUCUCUUCUUCAAUUUGCACAAAAUUAUAUAUAUCCCUUAAAGCAGCUUGUUUCUUAUGAGCAAGGAAAUAUUUAGCAGAGAAGUAAUAAAUCAUAUCAUGGGGACUACGCACACAACCAUGAUCAAGAGAAUUAAACCAUAUCUUAUCAUCACCCUUUAAUGAGAACGGAAAUAUUUUAAACAUAUAAAAGUAGCGGGUUCUCUCAUCAUUAGUGAACAGGGUGGCUAUAUCAUUUAAUUUAGUAAGAUGUGCACAACAGUUUCAGAUUCAUAGCCAUAAAAAGGAUCGGACUCAACCAAAGUAAUUAUAUCAGGAUCAAUAGAGAAUUCAUAAUCCUUAUCAGUAACAAAGAUAGGUGAAGUAGCUUAAGCAGGAUCAUAUUUCAUUCUAGCAUUCAGAGUUUUUUGUUUCAGCUUAGCUAAUAAUUUCUUAAGAUCACUUCUAUCAUUGCAAGCAAGAAAGUCUCUUUUAGUUUCUUCAUCCAAAACAUAGCCCUCAGGCACAACAGGCAAUUCAUAUUUAUUAGGGGGAGAGUCUUCAUCAUCACUAUCAUCAAUAUUAUCAGUUUCAAUAAUUUCAUUCUCUCUAACCCUAGCAAGUUGUUCAUCAAGAAAUUCACCAAGUGGCACAGUAGUAUCAAGCAUAGAAGUAGUUUCAUCAUAAGUAUCAUGCAUAGCAGAAGUGGCAUCAUCAAUAAUAUGCAACAUAUCAGAAUGAAUAGCAGAAGCAGGUUUAGGUGUCGCAAGCUUACUCAAAACAGAAGGUGAAUCAAGUGCAGAGCUAGAUGGCAGUUCCUUACCUCCCCUCGUAGUUGAGGGAUAAAUUUUUGUUUUCUCGUCUUCCAAGUUCCUCAUAGUGACCAGCAGAUAUAAAUUCCAAGUGACUCAAAGAAUAGAGCUAUGCUCCCCGGCAACGGUGCCAGAAAAUAGUCUUGAUAACCCACAAGUAUAGGGGAUCGCAACAGUUUUCGAGGGUAGAGUAUUCAACCCAAAUUUAUUGAUUCGACACAAGGGGAGCCAAAGAAUAUUCUCAAGUAUUAGCAACUGAGUUGUCAAUUCAGCCACACCUGGAUAACUGAGUAUCUGCAGCAAAGUAUUUAGUAGCAAAGUAAUAUGGAAGUAACGGUAACGGUAGCAAAAGUAAUAUUUUUGGUUUUUGUAGUGAUUGUAACAGUAGCAACAGAAAAGUAAAUAAGCGAAGAACAAUAUGUGAAAAGCUCGUAGGCAUUGGAUCGGUGAUGGAGAAUUAUGCCGGAUGCGGUUUAUCAUGUAACCGUCAUAACAUAGGGUGACACAGAACUAGCUCCAAUUCAUCAAUGUAAUGUAGGCAUGUAUUCCGAAUAUAGUCAUACGUGCUUAUGGAAAAGAAGUUGCAUGACAUCUUUUGUCCUACCCUCCCAUGGCAGCGGGGUCCUAAUGGAAACUAAGGGAUAUUAAGGCCUCCUUUUAAUAGAGAACCAGACCAAAGCAUUGACACAUAGUGAAUACAUGAACUCCUCAAACUACGGUCAUCACCGGGAGUGGUCCCGAUUAUUGUCACUUCGGGGUUGCCGGAUCAUAACACAUAGUAGGUGACUAUAGACUUGCAAGAUAGGAUCAAGAACUCACAUAUAUUCAUGAAAACAUAAUAGGUUCAGAUCUGAAAUCAUGGCACUCGGGCCCUAGUGACAAGCAUUAAGCAUAGCAAAGUCAUAGCAACAUCAAUCUCAGAACAUAGUGGAUACUAGGGAUCAUACCCUAACAAAACUAACUCGAUUACAUGAUAAAUCUCAUCCAACCCAUCACCGUCCAGCAAGCCUAUGAUGGAAUUACUCACACACGACGGUGAGCAUCAUGAAAUUGGUGAUGGAGGAUGGUUGAUGAUGACGAUGGCGACGGAUUCCCCUCUCCGGAGCCCCGAACGGACUCCAGAUCAGCCCUCCCGAGAGAGUUUAGGGCUUGGCGGCGGCUCCGUAUCGUAAAACACGAUGAAUCUUUCUCUCUGAUUUUUUUCUCCCCGAACACGAAUAUAUGGAGUUGGAGUUGAGGUCGGUGGAGCUCCAGGGGGCCCACGAGGCAGGGGGCGCCCAGGGGGGCAGGCGCGCCCCCCACCCUCGUGGACAAGGUGUGGCCCCCCUGGCCUUCAUUCUUUCGCCAAUAUUUUUUAUUAUUUCCAAAAAUAAUCUCCGUGGAGUUUCAAGUCAUUCCGAGAACUUUUGUUUCUGCACAUAAAUAACACCAUGGCAAUUCUGCUGAAAACAGCGUCAGUCCGGGUUAGUUCCAUUCAAAUCAUGCAAGUUAGAGUCCAAAACAAGGGCAAAAGUGUUUGGAAAAGUAGAUACGAUGGAGACAUAUCAGGCCCAAUCCUUUUUGUAGCAAAGGACAAGCCUGGACAAACUCUUAUAUAGAGAAAAGCGCUCCUGAGGACACAUGGGAAUUAUCGUCAAGCUAGUUUUCAUCACGUUCAUAUGAUUCGCGUUCGGUACUUUGAUAAUUUGAUAUGUGGGUGGACCGGUGCUUGGGUGCUGUCCUUACUUGGACAAGCAUCCCACUUAUGAUUAACUCCUAUUGCAAGCAUCCGCAACUACAAAAGAAGGAUUAAGGUAAACCUAACCAUAGCAUGAAACAUAUGGAUCCAAAUCGGCCCCUUACGAAGCGACGCAUAAACUAGGGUUGAAGCUUCUGUCACUCUAGCAACCCAUCAUCUACUUAUUACUUCCCAAUGCCUUCCUCUAGGCCCAAAUAAUGGUGAAGUGUCAUGUAGUCGACGUUCACAUGACACCACUAGAGGAGAUACAACAUACAUCUCAUCAAAAUAUCGAACGAAUACCAAAUUCACAUGACUACUAAUAGCAAGACUUCACCCAUGUCCUCAGGAACAAAUGUAACUACUCACAAAGCAUAUUCAUGUUCAUAAUCAGAGGAGCAUUAAUAUGCAUAUAGGAUCUGAACAUAUGAUCUUCCACCAAAUAACCAACUAGCAUCAACUACAAGGAGUAAUCAACACUACUAGCAACCUACAGGUACCAAUCCCAGACUUAGAGACAAGAAUUGGAUACAAGAGAGGAACUAGGGUUUGAGAGGAGAUGGUGCUGGUGAAGAUGUUGAUGGAGAUUGGCCCCCUCCCGAUGAGAGGAGCAUUGGUGAUGAAGAUGGCGAUGAUUUCCCCCUCCCGGAGGGAAGUGUCCCGGCAGAACAGCUCCGCCAGAGCCCUAGAUUGGUUCCGCCAAGGUUCCGCCUCGUGGCGGCAGAGUUUCAUCCCGAAAGCUUGCUUAUGAUUUUUCUUCGGACGAAAGACUUCAUAUAGUAGAAGAUGACCACCGGAGGGCCAACAGGGGGCCCACGAGGCAGGGGGCGCGCCCCCCACCCUCGUGCCUGGUGGGUGGCCCCCUCUGGUAUUUCUUCCGCUCAAUAUUUUUUAUAUAUUCUGAAAAUAACUUCCGUGGAGUUUCAGGACUUUUGGAGUUGUGCAGAAUAGGUCUCUAAUAUUUGCUUUUCCAGCCCAGAAUCCCGGCUGCCGGCAUUCUCCCUCUUCAUGUAAACCUUGUAAAAUAAGAGAGAAUAUACAUAAGUAUUGUGACAUAAUGUGUAAUAACAGCCCAUAAUGCAAUAAAUAUCGAUAUAAAAGCAUGAUGCAAAAUGGACGUAUCAGACCUCUGACAAGUACUUUGCCUACAAGAUGGAGGAGAAUAGCUCAGCUAGUGAGCAUGUGCUCAGAAUGUCUGGGUACUACAAUCUCUUGAAUCAAGUGGGAGUUAAUCUUCCAGAUAAGAUAGUGAUUGACAGAGUUCUCUAGUCACUAUCACCAAGUUACUAGAACUUCGUGAAGAAAGGGAACUUCGAGAAGAAUGGCAAGCAAGUUGGCACUGCCGUGAAGAAACCCAAAGCUAGAUCCAAACCUAAAACUGAGUGCUUCUACUGCAAAGGAAAUGGUCACUGGAAGCGGAACUGCCCCAAAAAACUUGGUGGAUAAGAAGGAUGGCAAAGUGAACAAAGGUAUAUUUGAUAUACAUGUUAUUGAUGUGUAAUUUACUAGUGUUCAUAGUAGCCCCUGGGUAUUUGAUACCGGUUUAGUUGCUAAGAUUUGUAACUCGAAAUAGGAGUUGCAAAAUGAACAGAUACUAGUUAAGGGCGAGGUGACGAUGUGUCUUGGAAGUGAUUCCAAGGUUGAUAAGAUCACCAUCGCACACUCCCUCUACCUUCGGGAUUAGUGUUGGACCUAAAUAAGUGUUAUUUGGUGUUUGCGUUGAGCAUGAAUAUGAUUGGAUCAUGUUUAUUGCGAUACGGUUAUUCAUUUAAGUCAGAGAAUAAUUGUUGUUCUGUUUACAUGAAUAAAACCUUCUAUGGUCAUACAUCCAAUGUAAAUGGUUUAUUGAAUCUCGAUUGUGGUGAUACACAUAUUCAUAAUAUUGAUGCCAAAAGAUGCAAAGUUGAUAAUGAUAGUGCGACAUAUUUGUGGCACUGCCGUUUAGGUCAUAUUGGUGUAAAGCGCAUGAAGAAACUCCAUGCGGAUGGACUUUUGGAAUCACUUGAUUAUGAAUCAUUUGAUGCUUGUGAUCCAUGCUUUAUGGGCAAGAUGACUAAGACUCCGUUCUGCGGAACAAUGGAGCGAGCCACUGACUUAUUGGAAAUAAUACAUACCGAUGUAUGCGGUCCGAUGAGUGUUGAGGCUCGCGGCGGGCAUCGUUAUUUUCUAACCUUCACAGAUGAUUUGAGCAGAUAUGGGUAUAUCUACUUAAUGAAACACAAGUCUGAAACAUUUGAAAAGUUCAAAGAAUUUCAGAGUGAAGUGGAGAAUCAUCGUAACAAGAAAAUAAAGUUUCUACGAUCUGAAUGCGGAGGCGAAUAUUUGAGUUACGAGUUUGGCCUUCAUUUAAACCAAUGUGGCAUAGUUUCACAACUCACGCCACCUGGAACAUCACAGCGUAAUGGUGUGUCCGAACGUCAUAACCGUACUUUAUUAGAUAUGGUGCAAUCUAUCGUUUUGGGGUUAUGCAUUACAGACAGUUGCAUUCACGUUAAAUAGGGCACCAUCUAAAUCCGUUGAGAUGACAUCGUAUGAACUGUGGUUUCGCAAGAAACCUAAGCUGUCGUUUCUUAAAGUUUGGGGUUGCGAUGCUUAUGUGAAAAAGCUUCAGCCUGAUAAGCUCGAACCCAAAUCGGAGAAAUGUGUCUUCAUAGGAUACCCAAAAGAAACUGUUGGAUACGCCUUCUAUCACAGAUCCGAAGGCAAGAUCUUUGUUGCUAAGAAUGGAUCCUUUCUAGACAAGGAGUUUCUCUCGAAAGAAGUGAGUAGGAGGAAAGUAGAACUUGAUGAGGUAAUUGUACCUUCUCUCGAAUUGGAAAGCAACUCGUCAGAGAAAUCCAUUCUCGUGAUGCCUACACCAACUAGAGAGGAAGCUAAUGAUGCUGAUCAUGAAACUUUAGAUCAAGUUACUACUGGACCUCGUAGGUCGAACACAGCACGUUCCACACCAGAGUGGUACGGUAAUCCUGUUCUGGAAGUCAUGUUACUAGACCAUGAAAAACCUACGAACUAUGAAGAAGCUAUGAUGAGCCCAGAUUCCGAUAAAUGGCUUGAGGCCAUGAAAUCUGAGAUAGGAUCCAUGUAUGAGAACAAAGUGUGGACUUUGGUGGACUUGCCCAAUGAUCGGUAAGCCAUUGAGAAUAAAUGGAUCUUCAAGAGGAAGACGGACGCUGAUGGUAGUGUUACUAUCUACAAAGCUCGACUUGUCGCAAAAGGUUUUCGACAAGUUCAAGGUGUUGACUACGAUGAGAUUUUCUCACUCGUAGCGGUGCUUAAGUCUGUCCGAAUCAUGUUAGCAAUUGCCACAUUUUAUGAAAUCUGGCAAACGGAUGUCAAAACUGCAUUCGUUAAUGGAUUUCUUAAGGAAGAGUUGUAUAUGAUGCAACCAGAUGGUUUUGUCGAUCCUAAAGGUGCUAACAAAGUGUGCAAACUCCAGCGAUCCAUCUAUGGACUGGUGCAAGCAUCUCGGAGUCAGAAUAUACGCUUUGAUGAGGUGAUUAAAGCAUAUGGUUUUAUACAGACUUAUGGUGAAGCCUGUAUUUACAAGAAAGUCAGUGGGAGCCCUGUAGCAUUCUUGAUAUUAUAUGUGGAUGACAUAUUGUUGAUCAGGAAUGAUAUAGAAUUUCUGGAUAGCAUAAAAGGAUACUUGAAUAAGAAUUUUUCAAUCAAAAACCUCGGUGAAGCUGCUUAUAUAUUAAGCAUCAAGAUCUAUAGAGAUAGAUCAAGACGCUUGAUAGGACUUUCACAAAGCACAUACCUUGAUAAAGUUUUGAAGCAGUUCAAAAUGGAUCAGUCAAAGAAAGGGUUCUUGCUUGUGUUACAAGAUGUGAAGUUGAGUAAAACUCAAAACCCGACCACAGCAGAAUAUAGAGAGAGAAUGAAAGUCAUUCCCUAUGCCUCGGUCAUAGGUUCUUUAAAGUAUGCCAUGCUGUGCACCAGAACUGUUGUGUGCCUUGCCAUGAGUUUGGCAAGGGGGUACAAUAGUGAUCCAGGAGUAGAUCACUGGACAACGGUCAAAAUUAUCCUUAGGUACCUAAAGAGGACUAAUGAAAUAUUUCUCGGUUAUGGAGGUGAUAAAGAGUUCAUCAUAAAGAGUUACGUCGAUGCAAGCUUUGACACCGAUCUGGAUGACUCUGAGUCUUGAUCUGGAUACAUAUUGAAAGUGGGAGCAAUUAGCUAGAGUAGCUCCAUGCAGAGCAUUGUAGACAUAGAAAUUUGCAAAAUACAUACGGAUCUGAAUGUGGCAGACCCGUUCACUAAACUUCUCUCACAAGCAAAACAUGAUCACACCUUAGUGCUCUUUGGGUGUUAAUCACAUAGCGAUGUGACCUAGAUUAUUGACUCUAGUAAACCCUUUGGGUGUUGGUCACAUGCGAUGUGAACUAUGGGUGUUAAUCACAUAAAGAUGUGAACUACUGGUGUUAAAUCACAUGGCGAUGUGAACUAGAUUAUUGACUCUAGUGCAAGUGGGAGACUGGAGGAAAUAUGCCCUAGAGGCAAUAAUAAAGUUGUUAUUUUAUAUUUCCAUAUAUCAUGAUAAAUGUUUAUUAUUCAUGCUAGAAUUGUAUUAACCGGAGACUUGAUUCAUGUGUGGAUACAUAGACAAAACACCGUGUCCCUAGUAAGCCUCUACUAGACUAGCUCGUUAAUCAAAGAUGGUUAAGUUUCCUAACCAUAGACAUGUGUUGUCAUUUGAUGAAUGGGAUCACAUCAUUAGGAGAAUGAUGUGAUGGAAAAGACCCAUCCGUUAGCUUAGCAUAUUGAUCGUUCAGUUUUAUUGCUAUUGCUUUCUUCAUGUCAAAUACAUAUUCCUUCGACUAUGAGAUUAUGCAACUCCCGGAUACCGGAGGAAUACCUUGUGUGCUAUCAAACAUCACAACGUAACUGGGUGAUUAUAAAGAUGCUCUACAGGUAUCUCUGAAUGAGUUUGUUGGGUUGGCAUAGGUCAAGAUUAGGAUUCGUCACUCCGAGUAUCAGAGAGGUAUCUCUGGGCCCUCUCGGUAAUACACAUCAUAAUAAGCCUUGCAAGCAAUGUGACUAAUGAGUUAGUUACCGGAUGAUGUAUUACGGAACGAGUAAAGAGACUUGGCGGUAAUGAGAUUGAACUAGGUAUGAAGAUACCGACGAUCGAAUCUCGGGCAAGUAACAUACCGAUGACAAAGGGAAUAACGUAUGUUGUCAUUACGGUACGACCGAUAAAGAUCUUCAAAGAAUAUGUGGGAACCAAUAUGAGCAUCCAAGUUCCACUGUUGGUUAUUGACCGGAGAGGUGUCUCGGUCAUGUCUACAUAGUUCUCAAAUCCGUAGGGUCCGCACGCUUAAUGUUCGAUGACGAUUUUGUAUUAUAUGAGUUAUGUGAUUUGAUGACCGAAUGUUGUUCGAAGUCCCGGAUGAGAUCACGGACAUGACGAGGAGUCUCGAAAUGGUCGAGAGGUAAAUAUUCAUAUAUAAGGCAAUGAUAUUCGGACACCGGAAGUAUUCUGGGGGUACCGGGUAUAUAUCGGGUCACCGGAAGGGGUUCCGGGCAUCCCCCCGGCAACUACAUGGACCUAAUGGGCCAAGAAGGGGACAGACCAGCCCCUAGGGGGCUGGUGCGCCCCAUGUAAGCCAAAUAAGGGGGGAAGGAAAGAGGGGAAGAGAGAAAGAGGGGAGCAAUUCGGCCUCCCCCUUCCUUCUCUCCUCCCUCCUCCUUCCUUCCCCCUCCGGAUGGAUAGGGAAGGGGGGAGGCCGAAUAGGGAGGCGCCCAAGUAGGAUUCCUCCUACUUGGGACGCCCCCUUGGCUGCCUCUCCUCCCCUCCAACCUAUAUAUAUGAGGGGGGGCACCGCUAGAACACACAUCAACAAUUGUUAGCUGUGUGCGGCGCCCCCCUCCACAGUUUACGCCUCUGGUCAUAUUCACGUAGUGCUUAGGCAAAGCCCUGCGCGGAUCACUUCACCAUCACCGUCACCACGCCGUCGUGUUGACGAAACUCUCCCUUGACACGUUGCUGGAUCAAGAGUUCGAGGGACGUCAUCGAGCUGAACGUGUGCAGAACUCGGAGGUGCCGUACGUUCGGUGCUUGAUCGGUCGGAACGAGAAGAAGUUCGACUACAUCAACCGCGUUGUCAAAUGCUUCCGCUUUCGGUCUACGAGGGUACGUAGACACACUCUCCCCCUCUCGUUGCUAUGCAUCUCCUAGAUAGAUCUUGCGUGAGCGUAGGAUUUUUUUGAAAUUGCAUGCCACAUUUCCCAACAAUCCCCCCCCGGGUAAUCUUCGCGGCACGAGGACGUUCGGGUCUCUUGGCCCGGGCAUGGUGGUGAUGGCUGCCUUCUCCACCGAGGGCGAUUGGCUAGGCUGGUAGUGAUGGAUCUUGAAUCCCACUAUUAGCACCGGCGGCGAGUUGGGGAGAUAUAGUCGCCGGUGAAAACCGAGCCGACUCCGGUCAUGGCGGGCGAUGGCGGCGUCUACGUCGUUACCUUCAUGAAGGCAUCGUCAAGCAACUGUCGUCAACCUGCUCGUGCCGCUCCGGGAGAAAUCCUAAGAUCUCCGGAUCUGAUGAUGGCGGCACUGCGGUGUCGUGUUCCCUAUUGGGGGCAUCGCUUGUGGAGCGGCGCCGGAUGGAAGAGGCGUGAGGUGGUGUGGCGUGCCUUCUCUCGCGUCGACGACGGCGGGUCUCGGCGGCAUGGAGCAGCAGGGUCUCGCCGGUGGGCGUGUGAUGAUGGACGAGCGCAGGAUGGUGGCGUUGUCUGGCGUCGUGGUGGCGUCAUCGGCAGCUAGAUCGGGCAAGGUAGAUGCAGCAGUACACCACUGAAGAUGGAUUGGUGGCAGGUGGCUGCGGCGGCCUCAUACCCGGCAGGUGUCCUGGUUGAGGAGUGCGCCGGACUGGUGGGUGCCGCAUACCCGGCAGGCGUCCUGGUUGGAACCUCAGGUCUUAGAUAUUAGGUUUGGCUGCGAGAUCUGUUUGGUAUUAGUCCCAGACUAUCAGCAUCCCUAUAUCAACUGGAUAUGAGUAGCAACAGAUGUUGCUUAGACGGUGACUUUAGUCUUACUAUUGUCUGACUUUGUAAGGUUUUGUGUGAAUAAUUAAUAAAAUGAUUGCAUGAAUCUCUAGAUGCAGAGCCCGGGGGCCCUCCUCUAUUUCUAAAAAAAGAAGUUCAGUUUUCCUGUUUGUGGACAGUCGCGUGCCGUCCGCUUGCAUCCCUAGCCCCUAGGUCGCGGGCACAAGAUGGGCAGGGAAGCAGAGCAACAUGCGGGUGCAGCCAUAUCUGCGCAUAAAAUUUUGAGCCGAACCAGUAGGAAUUUCUUCCCACAGAUUUUUCAGUCUUAUGAAAAUACUAUCAAAGAGAAUUAAGCCUACGCAUUUGGCUUGCAUAAAAUUGCUCAGCCCAUUUGGCUUGCUUGAUUCGCUUUCUUCAAAAAGCAAGCGAUCCUCCAGAAAUGGGCUGCUACAGUGUGGUAUUCUUGCUAGUCUUUUUAGCGGUUUGCGGAAAAUUCAGGUACAGGUUCAACAGCAAGGCAAAUAGUAGCCAGAUCUUGUAAUAAAAUAUCACAAAAGCUUGUGCUGCAGCAUCACAACCAGCGGUGGCGCAGCCUGCAGAAUCAGAAAACGGUUCACAAAAGUUUACUAAAAGAGCUUUUUUAUGGUACCCUGUACUGUUAAAGAUGGGAGAUAGCAGUAUACAAUCAUCUACCGUUUAUUCCGUGAGGGUAGUUCUAGUCAUUUUUCCGUUUUCUAAGAUAACGCUAGCCAAUCAGCAAUCGGCCGUUCUGUAACAUCCCAAAUUUUCAAUUUGGUAUGUUAUACAUAGAUCAUCAAUGCAUAUUAUAUUUUAUUGCAUUUGAAGAAUCCUCGAUAAAUCCUAAGCAACUCAAGGACCCUCGGAGAGAGUUGGGGAUUUUCUCGAAUUUUUAUAUUUGAUUUUCAUCAAAUAAUAAAACGAGGAUUUUGGUUUUAAUUAUUUUCUCUCCGGAAAAAUAUUUCAUUAAUAAUAAAUGAGAGGAGAAAAUAUGACUUCUCCAAAACAAUUGAAAUAUUGGAGGAAAAGUGUUAAAAUCAUUUAUUGGAUUUUAUUCGGAGUUUUGUUUGCAAUUUUAAUUGCAUUAAAAAAAUAUUGCAUGUUUUCAAAAUUUAUUUUGUGUCAAAAAAAUGUUCACCCUGUUCUAAAUUUUCUAACUAGACGGGGAAAAUUUGUUUUAUCUUUUUUAGAUUUUUAUUUAUUUUUCUACGAAUUUUUCGGCGGAACGUUUUAAAAAAAAAUAUUUGCGCCCCGCCCGACCAGGCCGAGGCCCCGCCGAGCCGCCGGCCCACCCCGCGUUCUCCUCCGCGCGUACGCCGCCGCCGUCGCCGUGUCCGGCUCGGACACCGCCGCCGCCGCNNNNNNNNNNNNNNNNNNNNNNNNNNNNNNNNNNNNNNNNNNNNNNNNNNNNNNNNNNNNNNNNNNNNNNNNNNNNNNNNNNNNNNNNNNNNNNNNNNNNNNNNNNNNNNNNNNNNNNNNNNNNNNNNNNNNNNNNNNNNNNNNNNNNNNNNNNNNNNNNNNNNNNNNNNNNNNNNNNNNNNNNNNNNNNNNNNNNNNNNNNNNNNNNNNNNNNNNNNNNNNNNNNNNNNNNNNNNNNNNNNNNNNNNNNNNNNNNNNNNNNNNNNNNNNNNNNNNNNNNNNNNNNNNNNNNNNNNNNNNNNNNNNNNNNNNNNNNNNNNNNNNNNNNNNNNNNNNNNNNNNNNNNNNNNNNNNNNNNNNNNNNNNNNNNNNNNNNNNNNNNNNNNNNNNNNNNNNNNNNNNNNNNNNNNNNNNNNNNNNNNNNNNNNNNNNNNNNNNNNNNNNNNNNNNNNNNNNNNNNNNNNNNNNNNNNNNNNNNNNNNNNNNNNNNNNNNNNNNNNNNNNNNNNNNNNNNNNNNNNNNNNNNNNNNNNNNNNNNNNNCGCCGCCCCUCGCCGGACCCCCGCCGGAGCCCGCCGACCCCGCCGGAGUUCCGUCCCGACGAGGUAUCUUCCGAUGCCGUUUGCUGGUUUUGUUAAAAAAAACCGUUCGUUUAAAAAAAACCCUAGAUCGGUUUAUUUCUUCGGUUUUGUUAUUUUGUGAGCGUUCACCGACUCGUUCGUUUUAACGAACGCGUUCGUCGGAUUUUCUCUGUUAACGAACGUCUGUUCUUUAACCGUUCGUCCGUUUUUCUUUUUCGUCGGAUUUUUCCGCGAUUAUCUCAGAUCUCGAUUUCUGAUCGAAUCUUCGUUUCUGUUUAACUUUUCGCUCGUUUAUCGGAAUCAGGUGAUUCAAGCGCCUAGAGUUUCGUCUCGAAAUUCUCUUUCUGUUUAACCUACUCAAACAAGUUUUUGCUACUGUAAAAUUUGACCUAGAUCCAGAUUAGUAAACGAAGCUUGUUUCUUUCGCAGUUUGACUUUCGUUGCUUCGUUCGAGUUGAUUCUUUUUGCAAACCGGAGUUCUUAAGUUGAACUUUCUGGUUGGAUCAUUCAUUCGAGUUUUACCUGUGCAUUAGAUGAGUACUGAUUGUUUGCUUGUUUGUUUGCGAUAGAGUACCCGGAGUGUGCCGCUUGUUACUUCGAAUCGCUAGGUUUCGCGGAUCAUCAGCAAGGCAAGUAACACUUUGAUCAUACCUUCCAUACCCAGUUUUAUUGCAUUAGAUCUAUUCCUCAAACAUUGCAUGAUUAGGAUCUAAUUAAAUUGUGGGUAUUGGGAAGUAGUUGAGGUAGUACCUAUUACCUGUUUCAAUUAUCAAACCCUUGGGAGUUACUUCUGCGUUUGCUAUUAUACUGCCAUGAUAUGCUCGUAGACGUGGAUUGGGUUUGAGAGAUAUUCAUGACAGAUGUGAGAUUGUUAAUAAUGGUUUACCUAAGGUGGCAACUAAAACUCACAUCUAGGUGGAUUGAGGCACCUGGAGAAUCCAGUGUUGUCUGUUUGUAUAAGGACCGCCACCCAGGCUCAAAGGGAUCAUAAGAUUAUUCAUGCUAGAAACUUCCGUGUGCAGCCACAAGCUAUUAUGGGCUCUAGCAUAGUUGAGUAGGUUACAUGAUCUCUUGAAGAGGUGGGCUAGCAGAUGUAGGGGAAAGUAGGUGUACCGGUCCACCCGGAGUAGAGAGUGAUUGUUCCUGAAAGACUGUGUCUCGGUCAUCCGUUUCUCAAACAUCAUGCAGUGCGAGAAUCAAGCGGAGGCGAUCGAGUCUUGUGGGGAAAAGUGCGCAAACCUCUGCAGAGUGUACAAACUAAUCAUGGUUAGCCGUGUCCCCGGUUAUGGACAAUUUGAGUAUCUAGUACCUGGAUUAUCAUUUGAAUCUCAUCACCAUGUUACUUUUAAUUAAUUUUGUUGGGUUAAUGAUGAUUCUUAAUUGGGAUUGAGAUGCUGUCAACCAUCUCAAUGUUUAACAACCACCAUGAUAGUUAAAUAAAAUUUAUUCCUUUGAAGUAGGGAAAAAUUGGCUUUUCGCAAAAACUUAACCGUAGAGCUUUCCACCGGCCACAUAUGCAUGUAGUAUAGCAUUAUUAUUGUUCAUUAUUCUCUAUGUGUUACAUUGCCAGCAUAUUCCAUGUGCUGGCCCGUUUUCGGGCUGCAACGUUUCAUGUUGCAGACUUUUCAGACGACGAGUAAGGUGCCUUAGGUCGUGGUCUUAUACUCAGUGAUGCCGCUGGAGUUGAUGGACUCAUUUAUCUUCCAAGUCUUCCGCUGUUAUCGUUUUUAGAUGGCCUUAAGCCAUAUUUAUCAUACUUAAUCUCUUUGGAGAUAUUCGAUGUAAUAAGUGUGUGAUUGCUACUCUGUUAUAAAUCCUCCAUUUGUACUGUGCGUGUCAGCAUUACUGAUCCAGGGAUGACACUGGUGCACAGCAGCACAGACCAUUUGAGGUCUGGUCGCUACAAAGGUGGUAUCAGAGCACACGCUGACUGUAGGACACGACCACUAAGCUUAAGCCCUAGAACACUUCUCUCUUCUCAUUUCUGACCCCUCUCCUCUACUCUUUUAGGAAUGGCGGAUGCAAGGAGCAAGUUCAUGCAACCAGAUGAAGACACGCCUUUUGGUCGACACUUGAAGGAAGUCACUAAGUAUUUGAACAUAGGAAUACCAAGCAUCACCGGAACCUACAACGCCACAUUACCCGAAGAGGAGAGCUGGAAGAUUCAAGUUCACAUUCCAGGAAGGACGUUUGUGCCAGUUACUGAACCCAUAAGAUUGGUUUUCGAAGCACCAACCUGGAGUUUAGGGAAGAGCAUGGCCGCACACAUCGCUAUGGGACGCAUUGGAGAAGUCUACCACCAGGAGCUUAAGGAUACAAUUUACCAGAUUUGUGGACGCCGAGACGCGCAAUGGGAGAUGAUCAGAACCAAGAAGGAUGGAUCAAUUGCAGCUUUCAUCCAGGAGCAAAACCAACACAUUCGUCGCCAGGAGAACCAGAUGUGCACGGACAAGGAAGAACUGAAGAAGGCAUUAACCAAGAUCAAGGAGCUGGAGGAAGAACUCAAGGCUACACGCAAGGAUUAUAUGGAGGAAAUCAUCGCACUAGUAGGGAAGAAUGAUGACCUGGAGAAGAAGAUUGGAGUAUUCAGGGGAAAUCCAGUGCCAAAAGCAAAGGAUGACGAAUGCACUUGCCCGGAUAACUACAUCAUCAUCGACGACACUGACUCGGAACCAAGUGAAGAUGACUUUGUUGACGAAGCUGGAGCAGACAUCAUGGAGUCUUCAACGGAUCAGAAUUUCUAGUAGACCACCAUAUCAGCAGUAGUUUUCCCCCAUUUAAUAGUAUAGUUCAAGCACUUUGUAACGCUAGUUAGAUCGAUUGUUAUUCCUUGUUUGAAUUGAUUGAGUGAUAUUGAUUGUAUUUGUCUCAUGAGCAUAUGGGUAGUGUUUUCUCUCUAGACCUCAUUCUAUUCUUAACUCUCAGCUUUUCUAACCUAUCAGAUGCCUCCGAGACGCGACACCGGAUUUGUUUUUCCACCAGAGAUCACCCAGUUGAUUCAGCAACAGAAUGCCCUGAUGCAAGUGUUAGUGCAGAACCAAGGCAACAACAACAACAACCCACCACCACCACCACCUGUUGAUCACUUAGCCCGUUUCUUGAGGCUAAACCCGCCGGUGUUUUCCAGUAGCACCGAGCCGAUUGUUGCAGAUGAUUGGCUCCGCAAAGUUGGAAGGGAGUUGACCACUGCAGGAUGCACAGAUGCGGAAAGAGUGCGUUUUGCCGCACAUCAGCUUGAUGGACCCGCAGCAUCAUGGUGGGAGAAUUAUACAGCCACGCACCCUAUUGACACUGUCACAUGGGACCAGUUUCAGCAAGCUUUCCGUACAGCUCAUGUUUCAGCAGGAGCUAUGGCUAUGAAGAAGCACGAGUUUCGCAACCUACGCCAAGGAGGACGCACCGUAGGCCAGUAUGUGGAGGAUUUCAGUAAGUUAGCACGUUAUGCACCAGAUGACGUUGCUACAGAUGCUGCCAAGCAGGAGAAAUUUUUGGAAGGGCUGAAUGAUGAACUGAGUAUGCAGUUGAUGGUAGCAACCUUCAACAACUACCAGGAGCUGGUAGAUAGAGCUCUCAUGAUUGAAGGGAAGCAACAGCAGAUUGAAAAUCGUAAGAGGAAGUAUGGACAAGGGAAGUACAAUUCUGGAGCUCAGCAGAAGCCACGAUUUGCCCCGAAACACGGAGGACAGUUUCAGCAUACCCAUGGAGGAGGUAGUUCACACAACCAUAAUGGCUCCAAGAAUGGUAAUGGGAAUGGAGGAACCAACGGACAGAACCGCACCAACCCAUCUACCCCAGCCAAGAGGGAUCUAAGUCACGUUACCUGUUUCAAGUGCCAGAAGACUGGACAUUAUGCAACUGAUUGUCCUGAAGCCCAGAAUGGAAAUGGUAAUGGAAGCUCUGGGAAGAAGCCGAACCCGUUCAACAAAGGACAUGUGAACCACGUGAGCGUGGAGGAGGUUGAAGCUCAGCCUGAUGCAGUAAUAGGUAAGUUUUUGGUUAAGUCAUUUACUGCAACCGUUCUUUUCGAUACUGGUGCAUCGCAUUCAUACAUAUCAAGGGGAUUUGUGAAUAAGUUUAAGCUGUCCACCCAAGUUCUCAAAACCCCUAUGUUAGUAACCUCGCCAGGAGCAGAGUAUAUGGCAAGCCAAGGAUGUUUUCAGAUACCAUUGGCCAUUGGUAGGCAUGUUUUCCCCUCAGACCUCAUAGUUUUGGAGUCGCAAGGUUUGGAUGUGAUUUUGGGAAUGGAUUGGCUAUCGUUGUAUGGAGGAAACAUCGAUUGUGCCAGCAAGACGAUUUUGCUUACCACCCCGGAAGGAAAAAGGAUCAAGUAUGUAUCCCGGCAUAUGCCGAAGAGGACUCAAGUGAAUUCCUUAUCAGGAGUUGUACAGGAGGAAGUACCAGUGGUGAAGGAUUAUCCGGAUGUAUUUCCAGAAGAGUUGCCAGGCAUGCCACCAGAUAGAGACAUUGAGUUCUUGAUUGAACUUUUGCCAGGCACAGGGCCAAUAUCUAAGAGACCGUACAGGAUGCCCGCAAAGGAUUUGGAGGAAAUCAAGAAGCAGAUCAAGGAGUUACUGGAUAAAGGCUAUAUUCGCCCAAGUUUGUCACCUUGGGGAUCACCAGUACUUCUAGUGGAGAAGAAAGAUGGAUCGCUGAGGAUGGUUGUUGAUUACCGUGGAUUGAAUGAAGUGACCAUCAAAAACAAGUACCCGCUGCCGAUCAUCAAUGAUUUGUUUGACCGCCUACAAGGAGCUAAAGUAUUUUCCAAGAUCGAUCUACGAUCAGGAUACCAUCAGUUAAAGAUUCGAGAGCAGGAUAUACCUAAGACGGCUUUUACCACCAGAUAUGGAUUGUAUGAGUAUACCGUUAUGUCAUUUGGUCUGACUAACGCACCUGCCUAUUUUAUGAACCUGAUGAACAAAGUAUUUAUGGAGUUUUUGGAUAAGUUCGUCGUGGUGUUCAUUGACGAUAUUUUAGUCUUUUCCAAGAAUGAGGAAGAGCAUGAGGAGCAUUUGCGAUUGGUACUUGAGAAGCUCAGAGAACAUCAGUUAUACGCCAAGUUCAGCAAGUGUGAAUUUUGGCUGAAGGAAGUUGGAUUCCUCGGACAUGUUAUUUCUGGAGAAGGAAUAGCAGUAGACCCUGCCAAGGUUGAUACAGUGACAAGUUGGGAAUCACCCACGACAGUUGGAGAAAUCCGGAGUUUUCUUGGACUUGCAGGAUACUACCGGAGAUUCAUCGAGAAUUUCUCGAAGAUUGCUAAGCCCAUGACUGAGCUGUUGAAAAAGGACACCAAAUUCAAUUGGACCGAGGAAUGUGAAGCUAGUUUCCAAGAAUUGAAGAAACGAUUGGUUACAUCACCAGUGUUGAUUGUGCCAGAUCAACGCAAGGAUUAUGAAGUUUAUUGCGACGCUUCUCGUCGAGGACUUGGAGCAGUGCUUAUGCAGGAAGGAAGAGUUGUGUCAUAUGCUUCACGACAACUUAAACCCCAUGAGAAGAAUUAUGCUACGCAUGAUUUGGAGUUAGCAGCCGUGGUGCAUGCAUUGAAGACAUGGAGACAUUUUCUCAUCGGAAACCAUUGUGAGGUGUACACAGAUCACAAGAGUUUGAAGUAUAUUUUCACGCAGAAGGAGUUAAAUCUCAGACAGCGGAGAUGGCUGGAGCUUAUUAAGGAUUAUGAUAUGAGAUUGCAUUAUCACCCAGGAAAGGCUAACGUAGUAGCAGACGCGUUGAGCCGCAAGAGUCAUGUCAACACCCUCAUGACAGGAGAGUUACCUCAGGAGUUAGCCGAGGACCUUCGCGAGCUAUGUUUGGAGAUAGUCCCAAGAGGCUAUUUAGCGACCCUGGAGAUUCAGUCUACCUUGAUGGAUAGGAUCAGAGAAGCUCAGAAGACAGACAAGGAGAUUGAAGAGAUAAAGGAGAAGAUGAGCAAAUGAAAAGCCAAGGGAUUUCGUGAGGAUGAGCACGAUACCUUAUGGUUUGAGGACCGCGUAUAUGUGCCAAAUGAUCCGGAGAUCAGGAAGUUGAUUUUGCAAGAAGCCCAUGAUUCACCAUACUCGAUUCACCCAGGGAAUACCAAGAUGUAUUUGGAUCUGAAGAAUACUUUCUGGUGGACCGGAAUGAAGAAGGAUAUUGCAGAAUAUGUAGCAGUUUGUGAUGUAUGUCAGAGAGUGAAGGCAGAGCAUCAGAAGCCAGCAGGAUUGCUACAACCAUUGCCGAUACCCGAAUGGAAGUGGGAUAAAAUAGGCAUGGAUUUUAUCACGGGAUUACCCAGGACUCGUUCGGGCUAUGACUCAAUAUGGGUUGUAGUCGACCGUUUGACGAAAGUGGCUCAUUUCAUUCCAGUGAAGACCACUUACACCAGUGCUAAGCUGGCAAAUAUAUACAUGACCAGGAUCGUAUGUUUGCAUGGAGUUCCGAGGACCAUUGUAUCAGACAGAGGAACCCAAUUUACCUCGAAGUUUUGGAAGCAGUUACAUGAAACAUUGGGAACCAGGCUAGAAUUUAGUACAGCUUUUCACCCACAGACAGAUGGACAGACCGAGAGAGUCAACCAGAUUUUGGAGGACAUGUUGAGAGCUUGUGCACUAGAUUAUGGAUCUAGUUGGGACGACAAUUUGCCAUAUGCGGAGUUUUCUUAUAACAACAGUUAUCAGACCAGUUUGAAGAUGGCCCCUUUCGAAGCCUUGUACGGAAGAAGGUGUAGAACAUCGUUGUUAUGGGAUGAAGUUGGAGACCGUCAGUUGUUUGGACCAGAUUUGAUUAAGGAGUCUGAACAGAAAGUAAGGUUGAUUCGCGAUAGGCUCAAGGUAGCCCAGUCCAGGCAGAAGAGUUAUGCUGAUUCUAAACGAAAGGAGACAGUUCAUGAAGUCGGAGACCGAGUUUAUCUUCGAGUAUCACCACUUCGAGGAGUGAAGCGCUUUGGAGUUAAGGGAAAGUUAGCGCCCCGUUUUAUCGGACCAUACAGAGUUGUGGAACGUAUGGGAGAAGUUGCUUACAAGCUGGAAUUGCCCGAAGGAUUGUCUGGAGUUCAUGAUGUAUUUCACGUCUCCCAGUUGAAGAAGUGCCACGCAGAGAUGGCUGAGAUACCACUGAGAGAUACUGUGCCGCUGGAAGCGAUUCAGCUGGAAAGUGAUUUGACCUAUGAGGAGAAACCAGUUAAGAUUCUUGAGUAUGCCAGCCGAGUUACCCGCAGUAAGGUUAUCAAGUUUUGCAAAGUCCAGUGGAGUCACCACACGGAAGAUGAAGCCACCUGGGAGCGAGAGGAAGAUCUACGGAAGGACCACUCCCACCUGUUUUCUAGCCAACCCGAAUCUCGAGGGCGAGAUUCAUCUUAAGGGGGGUAGGUUUGUAACAUCCCAAAUUUUCAAUUUGGUAUGUUAUACAUAGAUCAUCAUUGCAUAUCAUAUUUUAUUGCAUUUGAAGAAUCCUCGAUAAAUCCUAAGCAACUCAAGGACCCUCGGAGAGAGUUGGGGAUUUUCUCGAAUUUUUAUAUUUGAUUUUCAUCAAAUAAUAAAACGAGGAUUUUGGUUUUAAUUAUUUUCUCUCCGGAAAAAUAUUUCAUUAAUAAUAAAUGAGAGGAGAAAAUAUGACUUCUCCAAAACAAUUGAAAUAUUGGAGGAAAAGUGUUAAAAUCAUUUAUUGGAUUUUAUUCGGAGUUUUGUUUGCAAUUUUAAUUGCAUUAAAAAAAUAUUGCAUGUUUUCAAAAUUUAUUUUGUGUCAAAAAAAUGUUCACCCUGUUCUAAAUUUUCUAACUAGACGGGGAAAAUUUGUUUUAUCUUUUUUAGAUUUUUAUUUAUUUUUCUACGAAUUUUUUGGCGGAACGUUUUAAAAAAAAAUAUUUGCGCCGCGCCCGACCAGGCCGAGGCCCCGCCGAGCCGCCGGCCCACCCCGCGUUCUCCUCCGCGCGUACGCCGCCGCCGUCGCCGUGUCCGGCUCGGACACCGCCGCCGCCGCCUUUGCCCCUCCUCCAAGCACCCCUCCCCCCUCCAUAAAUAGCCCCGCCGCCGCCCCCUNNNNNNNNNNNNNNNNNNNNNNNNNNNNNNNNNNNNNNNNNNNNNNNNNNNNNNNNNNNNNNNNNNNNNNNNNNNNNNNNNNNNNNNNNNNNNNNNNNNNNNNNNNNNNNNNNNNNNNNNNNNNNNNNNNNNNNNNNNNNNNNNNNNNNNNNNNNNNNNNNNNNNNNNNNNNNNNNNNNNNNNNNNNNNNNNNNNNNNNNNNNNNNNNNNNNNNNNNNNNNNNNNNNNNNNNNNNNNNNNNNNNNNNNNNNNNNNNNNNNNNNNNNNNNNNNNNNNNNNNNNNNNNNNNNNNNNNNNNNNNNNNNNNNNNNNNNNNNNNNNNNNNNNNNNNNNNNNNNNNNNNNNNNNNNNNNNNNNNNNNNNNNNNNNNNNNNNNNNNNNNNNNNNNNNNNNNNNNNNNNNNNNNNNNNNNNNNNNNNNNNNNNNNNNNNNNNNNNNNNNNNNNNNNNNNNNNNNNNNNNNNNNNNNNNNNNNNNCCCUCGCCGCCCCUCGCCGGACCCCCGCCGGAGCCCGCCGACCCCGCCGGAGUUCCGUCCCGACGAGGUAUCUUCCGAUGCCGUUUGCUGGUUUUGUUAAAAAAACCGUUCGUUUAAAAAAAACCCUAGAUCGGUUUAUUUCUUCGGUUUUGUUAUUUUGUGAGCGUUCACCGACUCGUUCGUUUUAACGAACGCGUUCGUCGGAUUUUCUCUGUUAACGAACGUCCGUUCUUUAACCGUUCGUCUGUUUUUCUUUUUCGUCGGAUUUUUCCGCGAUUAUCUCAGAUCUCGAUUUCUGAUCGAAUCUUCGUUUCUGUUUAACUUUUCGCUCGUUUAUCGGAAUCAGGUGAUUCAAGCGCCUAGAGUUUCGUCUCGAAAUUCUCUUUCCGUUUAACCUACUCAAACAAGUUUUUGAUACUGUAAAAUUUGAUCUAGAUCCAGAUUAGUAAAUGAAGCUUAUUUCUUUCGCAGUUUGACUUUCGUUGCUUCGUUCAAGUUGAUUCUUUUUGCAAACCGGAGUUCUUAAGUUGAACUUUCUGGUUGGAUCAUUCAUUCGAGUUUUACCUGUGCAUUAGAUGAGUACUGAUUGUUUGCUUGUUUGUUUGCGAUAGAGUACCCGGAGUGUGCCGCUUGUUACUUCGAAUCGCUAGGUUUCGCGGGUCAUCAGCAAGGCAAGUAACACUUUGAUCAUACCUUCCAUACCCAGUUUUAUUGCAUUAGAUCUAUUCCUCAAACAUUGCAUGAUUAGGAUCUAAUUAAAUUGUGGGUAUUGGGAAGUAGUUGAGGUAGUACCUAUUACCUGUUUCAAUUAUCAAACCCUUGGGAGUUACUUCUGCGUUUGCUAUUAUACUGCCAUGCUAUGCUCGUAGACGUGGAUUGGGUUUGAGAGAUAUUCAUGACAGAUGUGAGAUUGUUAAUAAUGGUUUACCUAAGGUGGCAACUAAAACUCACAUCUAGGUGGAUUGAGGCGCCUGGAGAAUCCAGUGUUGUCUGUUUGUAUAAGGACCGCCACCCAGGCUCAAAGGGAUCAUAAGAUUAUUCAUGCUAGAAACUUCCGUGUGCAGCCACAAGCUAUUAUGGGCUCUAGCAUAGUUGAGUAGGUUACAUGAUCUCUUGAAGAGGUGGGCUAGCAGAUGUAGGGGAAAGUAGGUGUACCGGUCCACCCGGAGUAGAGAGUGAUUGUUCCUGAAAGACUGUGUCUCGGUCAUCCGUUUCUCAAACAUCAUGCAGUGCGAGAAUCAAGCGGAGGCGAUCGAGUCUUGUGGGGAAAAGUGCGCAAACCUCUGCAGAGUGUACAAACUAAUCAUGGUUAGCCGUGUCCCCGGUUAUGGACAAUUUGAGUAUCUAGUACCUGGAUUAUCAUUUGAAUCUCAUCACCAUGUUACUUUUAAUUAAUUUUGUUGGGUUAAUGAUGAUUCUUAAUUGGGAUUGAGAUGCUGUCAACCAUCUCAAUGUUUAACAACCACCAUGAUAGUUAAAUAAAAUUUAUUCCUUUGAAGUAGGGAAAAAUUGGCUUUUCGCAAAAACUUAACCGUAGAGAUUUCCACCGGCCACAUAUGCAUGUAGUAUAGCAUUAUUAUUAUUCAUUAUUCUCUAUGUGUUACAUUGCCAGCAUAUUCCAUGUGCUGGCCCGUUUUCGGGCUGCAACGUUUCAUGUUGCAGACUUUUCAGACGACGAGUAAGGUGCCUUAGGUCGUGGUCUUAUACUCAGUGAUGCCGCUGGAGUUGAUGGACUCAUUUAUCUUCCAAGUCUUCCGCUGUUAUCGUUUUUAGAUGGCCUUAAGCCAUAUUUAUCAUACUUAAUCUCUUUGGAGAUAUUCGAUGUAAUAAGUGUGUGAUUGCUACUCUGUUAUAAAUCCUCCAUUUGUACUGUGCGUGUCAGCAUUACUGAUCCAGGGAUGACACUGGUGCACAGCAGCACAGACCAUUUGAGGUCUGGUCGCUACACGUUCUUUUCGCUCUGGUUGAGCCAUCGGCCGUUGCUCUACCCGCCACAGCCGCCAACUCGAUCGUAGCCAACUAGCCGGCUCCACCGUCGUCGAACUCGCCACCGUGUCCCUCUUUCCCAGCGCGCUCCCGCCACCACCCUCCGCGAGCGCAUGACCUGGACCGUACCUCUGAGCGCUUGGUCCACCAGCAUGGCCAAGGAAGGGGAUGCGGACGAAGACGAGAUGCAACGGUGGUCGCCGGCACAGAGGAAGGGAGGAAGACGAAUCCUUGUCAAGGAAGACGAUUUAGGCCGUGAGCGCGUGCCGCAAUCGACGAGCAUAGCCGGUGGCGUAGCAGCGUCGGUCCACAAGCACGGCUGACAGUGUGAAGGCGACGAGGCGGCCGCCGGAAUCCUAGCCGGCGGGCGCAUGCAUGCGGCAGCAGGAAAAGGGAAGCGAACGAACAGGUUCGCUUGGUCGAGAGGCCGGCUAGUUUUUCUCUCCCUAAAUUACCCUCACAACAAGUAUACUGCUGCACGCGAAGCGUCCGGUGUCACCGGUACUGCUGGCGAUGGUAGUCGCCCAGUUGAGCAGUAUAGAUCAACCACCACCCUUUGAUUUCGAGAAUAGACGGCUCAUAUUCAUUGCAGGGUACAGUAAAAGAGCUCUAAAAAAUGGUUCACCACGCCUAUUUACCAUAUAAGUCUUAUUUAUAACAACCACUUAACCUUUUGGUGCUUCACACAGGACUAGUCACCCAAACAACACGGUUCGCUGUCAGGGACUGGGUAAAACGAAGAUGAAACACACCACCUAUUUACACACCAUCACUUAUUCAUCGCUGACAGUCAUAUGUCUCACUAUUCAUCACUCAACCAGAACAGGCACCAACUUAUUCAUCGCUGACAGUCACAUGUCUCACUAUUCAUCACUCAACCAGAAGAGGCAGCAUACUAUAGAACCCUAAGGUUGGUAAGGAAGGCCGCGCAAAAAUCCAGAAAGAGG
rnacentral:lncRNA from 1 species